rnacentral:lncRNA from 1 species
GUUCACAGGAGCUACUUUUUCCUUCUGUUUAAAGGUGAUCCGACGGAUUCCAUCUACUUGGAGGUAGAGCUCAGGAGGUUGUCAUUUCUUAGGGAUAAAUCUGCUCGUUGUAAUCAAGCUCUGGAAGAUAGUCAGGCCUUGACUGCUGUUUCAAGGUACCGAAUUUAAAUUAUAAGAAACACUCGCUGCUUUUGUUAAAUUCUCAGUAGGGACAUAUUCAGUCUGGGAUUUUAUCAUGCUAAACAGCAUACAAGAUCUUCGUCGUGAGAGGCAGAUGCUCACCAAGCAGUUGCAAAAGAAGCUCACCAGGAAAGAUAGAGAGAUGCUCUUCCAAACUUGGGGGAUCGGUUUGAAUACCAAGCAUAGAAGUUUGCAGUUAGCCCACCGGUUGUGGUCUGACACAGAAGACAUGGACCAUGUGGCUGAGAGUGCCAAAAUUGUUGCAAAGCUUGUUGGUUUUGUUCAGCCAGAGGAAGCUUCCAAGGAGAUGUUUGGCCUCAACUUUACACCUUGGCGAUCAAAAACAAAACUUCGUAAGUGGAAAAGCACUAUGAUGUCUUUCUUGUGAAGCUUUGUUUUGGAUGCUAUUACUUUUGCGGAAUGGUGACGAAAUCGCUUCUCCAACUAUCUGAGGUGGUUUGAAUUCCUUUUAACUGGUAAUAUGUAUGUAAUGAGAUGCAGGUCAUUGUACAAAAGCUUUGUAAUAUUCUCUUGAACAAAUGAGGGCUUGCAGGUCCUCUCACCGGUCCUGGCUCUCUAACGUAUGUAUGGGCGCAUGAAUGAUGUUAAUUGGACUAAUAUAAUACUGUUUCUAUUUCUUCCAUCCUCUUACAUGUUUUUUAUUUAAAAGCUUGUAGCUGAUUAAAUUAGUAAUUUCACUAAUGACUCGUGGCAUGCCCUCGUUGAUUGUGACUCCUCGAUUUCAUUAAGCCAUUUUUUUGCCCUCGUGGUUUUCCUGACCUCAUUGGAUUGAGAAUAUGCAGACUUAAAUGCCUAAAACUGAAGACAGAGUAUCUUGUAAUGGCUGAAUGGCAUCAGCUCAGUAAUUACAUAAGCUAGUAGUUACAAGAAAUUAUUUUUUUGCACACUUAGAGAGAGAGAGAGAGAGAGAGAGAGAGAGAGAGAGAGGGAGAGAGGGGUUGACGAGGUGGGAGGAUGGGACAUACACAUGUUCAACUCGAAAUAUCAUUGUACUGGUUUAUAUUGAAGGAAGAGCCUCCUCGUCAGCGUCAGGGACCGUAGGAAACAAGAAACCACUUAAGUAAGCUUCGCACAUACAACGCUUUCCCAAUAGUACUCCUCUCAAUGAGAAGGAAAGGAACUAUGUAGAUUUGUUCAUAUAUGCUCCUUUUCUUAAAAUAUGAUAUAGUAUGUGAAUGACAGGCCUUAACUGGUAUCUAUACCUCAGCAAUUUGUAUGUAAGCUAUGUGAAAGGCUCACUAGACAUGCGUCGGCUAUGAGUAGUAAGGUUGAUUCGAAUGGUUGCUUUUGGAUUCAACAUUGGGUUAUACAAAGAUCAAAUGAUGUUGCCCACAUGAUUUGGAAUUGUGACAGGAAAAAGUGUAAAUGAAAACUGUUUUAAAAAGGCUAUGUGACUAAUUACGGUGUGAAGACUAUAUGAAAAUUUGCAUUCUUCUAUAGAACUCGCUAGGGACUUAUAUAUAGGCUUGACAUGCAUUGACUUGAUAUGGUGGAAUGAGUUAAUGAAAUACUUAUUUAAUGAGGAUCUCAGUUGUUUGUUUUAACCACCAGUAAAUUAUUGUUGAAAUUAUCAAUUUUAUAAAAAAAAUCCAUCGUCAUGAGUAUAAAUCACAUUUGAGAUUUAAUAUUAUUAUUCCAUACCUAUCGUCGUUGUCCGUAAGUUCAUCCAUCUUGGUCUCUUCUAUCUUGUACAAUGUAUUUCCUUCUCCCUUAUCAUGGACGUCAACAAAACCCUGAGUACCCUCUUUGACUACUACACGGAUAUUCUCCAGUCCCUUGCACUCCUUGAUCCCUUCAACUUUUUUCAUCGCAUCGAGGUGUCUAAACUCGACUUCUUUGAGAUGGAGCAUUGCUCCUUCUUCAAUAAUCACGUUCUCAAGCCGAGGCAGCUUCCAAAUCUUCAAGAUCAUGAGGCUUGGAAACCCAUCUUUGGCGAACCUCAGGCAAAUGCCUAGGAAGGAAUUGGCCAAGAGCCUGAAGGUUCUCAGUUGUUUGAGGAGACCACCCAACUGGGGCAUCAUGUCUAUAUCCAACUUCGAACCCGACAGAGUCAGUACCCUGAACGAGAUUGGCAAGAGCUGUGUCCAGAUGGGUUUGUUGAGUUGGUCCAGCAAGUAGAGCUCCAACAGCUCGUGAUGUUUUUCAGCCAACGACAGUUCCGGUAUGGGGCCAUCUGCGAUGUCAUGGGCUUGGCUCCUUUCUUGUCUUCUUUCGUGGGCUCGGAUACUUUUGUGCCUUCCUUCGUUGGGCUUGGCCUCUUCCGAGGGCUAGGCUUCUUGCGCGGGUUGGGCUUGUUCGGCGGGCUUGGCUACUUCCACGGGCUUGGGCUCUUGGCUCACCCCAAAGGUCAAGGACUGGAGAUUGGUGAGCCCCAAGCUAAUCCAAUGCGCUACUGUUUUCCCUGCAGCGCCUGAGGCGUCCUUAUCCGAGUGUUGCAAGAAAAGCUCAAGCUGUACAUGAGGCCUGAGGUCUCCUUAUCUUCGCCAAUAACCAGCCCGCUCAAGGUUUGGAGUUAAGGCAUUGACAUUGUUGCUACAAGCCUUGAGGAUGUUCUUCAAGUCGACAUAGAACCAGUUGAGAUGCAGGUGCCUCAAGUUCCUCGCCUUCCACAAGGAACUCGGCAGGGAAGUGACGUUGGUGUGCUUUAUGUCGAGAGUCUCGAGAUGGUACAGAUCUGCAACGGCACUUGGGAUCGAGUCCAACACCGUGGAUCUCAAUCCUAUGUACCUUAGGAGCACCAGCUUGUGGAGCACCCCUUGCAAGGAUGGCUUAUACACAACCGUCCAAGUCAAGCACCCUUAGCAAGCUAUAGUUAGUCUCGGAUGUCAUUUUCCUUAGAAACGUGCUGAUGUCUUUGGUAAGCACACCUCUCCUCAGGUAGAACGACAGAAACAAGCGAACGUGUCUGAGGUUCAAAUUGGGGUAGUUGCGGCUGUGGCCGUUGAUAUUGCUAGUAUGAGUACCUAGAGGGGGGUGAAUAGGUAUAUAAAAGAUUUUUCUUCAGUAAUUGCACAAUACUAGACAGUUGAUGGAUUUGAGACAAACGAUAAUCAAAGUAAGACUGAGAGAAGAUAAAAUUGAACACGCGGUUUAUAGUGGUUCGGCUUAUAUCAAGCCUACGUCCACUCUUCUUCACUGACAGCCUAUUGGCUAGAUUCCACUAUGAACAAAAGAGAAGUUACAACACAGUUUUGCCUUGAUUCCAUAGUGUAGAUGUUCUACCACACCUCCUCAAGAUUUCUCACAAAUAUAGACUCUCUUUUGUAUACAAGUAUUUGCUCAGAGUAAUUGUCUAAACAACAAGAAGCUUCAGACUUUGGAAUUCUUCUAUCGCGUACUCCUUGAACAACUAAGACCGUCUUCUUUAUAUACUCCUUUGUGCCAUCAUACCCGUUGGCACUUACCAAAGUAAUUCCUCCAAUCUACCCGUUGGACGGAAUCAAUUAGGAAGAUUGUUCGAGCUAUUAAAGGAACGUGUUGAUAGCCCAUCAAUCUUGUUCGCCCAUACAAUCAGGAUCUCGGUUUCCAUAAGUAGAACUUUCCAAUAAUAUUUAGGCAAUCACUGGAUCUUCAAUUAUCGAGUCAAUCUCGAUCAAUCAAAGGACUCCGUUAUGUCUAUUCCAGCCACGAGAUCUUCUCCAGUUGAUAAGGUUAAAUCCUUAACGAAACAUCCAGUUCUGGAUAACCUUUCUUCAACAGAUUAGAGACUGUCAAUGAGGAUAGACUUUGAGUCUUGAGUUUGGCUGUCCGGAGGUCUUCAGACUUUAAAGAGCAGAGUCUACAAGCCUUCAGACUAGACUGAUGGAAAUGUUUUGUCAACUUCAAAAGACUUCAAGAAGAUUUCUCCAACAGCCGUCUCUGACUAUGUUCGUGUGCUCCGCAAGCCACCGAAUCUUGCUUCUUUCUCGCGGUUGGGCCAGCAGCUGUUGUUGCUGGCUAGUUGGGUCGCGGUUGUUCUUGUCUUUCAACUUGCUAGUGCCAUGUAUGUGUAGGAACCUCAUGCUCAUUGCAAUUGGGCGGAUCAUGUCAUAAAGGGAGGUGAUCAUUUGGCAAGCUUUGGGGGAUCCAUCCACCCUCCAGCUCACUACAUCGAUCACGUUCCUAUUCGCGAGCUCCAGAAUAAACGUCUCUCCCACGUCCUCAGGCUGCCUUUUCAUUUCGCUUUCUCCGUCGUAACAAUGUGAAUCCAAUAAGCCCUCGGCCAACCACCGCCUCACUAACCUUCUUGUUGGGAUGGGGAUUGUUACGGGGAAAAAAUCCAUGUAGAUGAAGCACGGUUUUAGAUGGAUCGGCAAUUUAUGGCAACUCAACUGUAGUAUAUCUAACUUGAAACCCUCUUCCGCCAACGCUGUGCGCUCGCGCUCUCCUGCNNNNNNNNNNNNNNNNNNNNNNNNNNNNNNNNNNNNNNNNNNNNNNNNNNNNNNNNNNNNNNNNNNNNNNNNNNNNNNNNNNNNNNNNNNNNNNNNNNNNUUCGACAGAACCCGCCGAGUAAGGAUAUAUGGAACGCCAAGCCACAACACUCGUUUAGGAUAUCCUUCUCCUCUUUUGAGAGUCUCUGACCUUCCGGUACUCCAUGCAACUUCCAAGCGAGCAUCCUCUGGCUUUCUUCAUUGCCCAAAUUUUGUAGCCUAAUCGGCUCUGCCUCGGAUGUAUCCGUCAACUUGGCUAUCUUACUGUCCUGAGUUGUGGUAAUUAUGUGGCCCUUUGAGAAGAUUGGGACGCUAAUCGCUAACACUCGCACGAGUUGCUCGUCAGAUGGCUGCACGUCAUCCAACACUAUGAGGAAUCUGUUCUUCUUGGUCAAUUUUUGUUGCACCAUCGUCAUUAUCUCCUCCAUAUCCAUGUCUUUCACGUCCCUCGCUAGCUUCUCGACGUGCUUCCGUAUCUCAAACGGGAUCUCCCGCUCGUCCAAGCUGCCCGAGACAUGGACCCAAGCGCGCCACUCAUAACCCAUGUACUUCGCUCGGCUGUAGACCCAUCUCGCAAGGAACGUCUUGCCGGUGCCUUGUUCGCCCCAAAUCGAAGUCCAUUCAGUCCAACACAGUUUUUGUCUUAUCCGACUCAUUAUUUUCGUUUUCUCAGUCUCGCGACAUAAGAAGUUAGUUGGCACCUACCCAUCCCAGAAACUAGUCAGCCUCACCACUUUUUUGCCUUGCCAUGGAACACUAGCAUGGGAGGAGGAACUAGCAGGUUCCUUUUUCCUUUUUCCCUCGGCCCCCUCUUGAAAGAAAGCAAAAAGAAUGAAGGAAAGAAGGAUAUCAAGACUGAAGACGUAGGGAAUUUUCUAUAUACUGUCUUCAAUGAAUUGUAAAUGUACAGACCCCUAUAGAUAUAAUACAAAGAGUAUACAAUUAAUGGAAGUAAAUGAUCCUAUGUAUCAAUCUAGAUCUAAAUAUAAUCUUUAAUUGAUAUAUACAGAAUUGUAAUCAGAUCUAAUCAGAUCAGUAAUUGCCGCAUAUCUUUCAACACUCCCUUUCAAGCUAGUGGCUUGUAGAUAUCCAAGACGCCUUGCUUAAUAGAUAUGCAUGCUUUCUUUGACACAAGGGCUUGGUACAGAUAUCUGUUAGCUGUUCCGUCGUCCCAAUUCCUCUUGUCUCAACCACUCCUUCUUGAAUCUUUUCCCGUGUAAAGUGACAAUUCACUUCUAUAUGCUUGGUUCCCUCGUGCACUAUAGGAUUUGCUGCUAGUUUGAGAGCCGCAUCAUUACCACAAUAUAGCUUCGUUGGUCCUUGCACUUGUACUUCGAGAUCCUUAAGUAGGCAUUGUAUCCACACUAUUUGACAGGUGGCUUUAGCCAUAGCUCGAUACUCUGCUUCGGUUGAGGACAAGGACACAAUGGGUUGUUUCUUGGUCUUCCAUGAGAGAAGUGAUUCUCCCAAUUUGAUGCAAUAUCCAGUGACUGAUCUUCGACUUAUGGGACAUGUUGCAUAAUCUGCAUUACAUUAUGCUGUCAUCUUCAUGUCACAUUGUUUAGAUACAAGUAUUCCAAGUCCUGGACACUUUUUUAAAUAUUUCACGACUUUCAAGGCAACAUCCAAAUGAGAUCGCUUUGGAUUGUGCAUGAACUGGCUAAGCGUCUGUACUGCAUAUGAGAUAUCAGGCCUAGUCAUAGUCAGAUAUAUGAGUUUCCCAACAAGUCUUUGAUAGCCCGAUGGAUCUCUGAGUAUGGGAUCAUCAUUUUGAGAUAUGCCUUUAUCAUAAUCUGCAGUAGUCAACUUAGUGUUCCGCUCAAUGGGAAUUACGGCUGGCUUGCUUCUUGAUAAACCUGCUUCUAAUAUAAUCUCUAAUACAAACUUCUGCUGACUAAGGGAAAUCCCUUGAUCAAGUUGAGCAAUUUAAAUCCCAAGAAAAUAUUUAGGUGCUCCUAAGUCCUUAAUGUGGAAAGUCGCAUGCAAAUAUUCCUUGAAUUUUUCUAUGGCAGCUUUAUCAUUUCCCAUAACAAGAAUGUCGUCGACAUAUAUCAUGAAAUAAAUAGAUGACAUACCUUUGGUCCGAAUGAAUAAAGCAUAGUCAUGUUUGGACUGCUUGAAGCCUGCUGUUGUAAGAGCAUUUGCAAAUUUGGCGUAUCAUUGUCUGGAUACUUGUUUUAAUCCAUAAAGGGAUUUGCGGAGACGAUAUACUUUAUUCUCCCCGUCUUCGUAAGCCCUGAGGAAUAUCCAUAUAGAUUUCUUCGUCUAAAUCACCAUGUAAGAAGGCAUUGUGCACGUCCAUCUGAUGUAGAGGCUAGUCAUUAAUGGUGGCAACGAUUAAGAAUGAAUGGACUGUGACAUUUGUGGCAAUUGGAGAGAAAGUCUCGUGAUAGUCAAAACCUUCUCGUUAGGUGUAUCCCUUGGCUACCAACCGUGCUUUGUAUCGUUCAAUGAAGCCAUCAGCAUGAUACUUGAUCUUGUAGACCCAUUUGCACCAAAUCGGUUUACGAUUAGGUGGGAGUGAAACAAAAUCCCAUGUUUGAUUAUCAAUCAAUGCCUGUAGUUCUACCUUCAUGGCCUAUUGCCAUCUUGGGUCAAUAGACGCCUCAUCAUAACUAGAUGGUUCCUUGUCUCCUGAUAAACGACUAAUGCAACAUCUAUGUUCUUGUGAUAAUCUAUGAAAGGAAACAUAGGAUGAGAUUGGAUACUAAAUACCUGGAGAAUUGUGAGUGGCAUAGACAUAAUCCUUGGUCCAAGUUGGAGGUCGUGUAGCCUGACCAGAACGUCUUGGAUGAUCGACUUCCGUAGUAGAAGGAAUUGUCUCAUUGGAGGAUGGCAGUGCGACAUCUUGGAUUUCCUCAUUAGCAGUAGGGCCUUCUAGUGUGUUCUCCAAAAUAUCUUCUGAGGAGUUUGAAUUCUCAGCUGAAGUCGGUGUUGUUGCUGGAAUUAGUGUAGGAAUAGAAGGAACAUUCCUCGGUUGUGCUAGUGGUAUGUAAGCAGAAUCUCGAGGUAAUGCUUCAUCAUAUAAUAGGCCACAAGGAGAGGAUGUCAUCCCUGAAUCUUCAUCUGAAGAUAUCUUCUCAGAGAAAGGAAAGAUGUUCUCAUGAAAGAUUACAUCACAACUUAUAAGAAAUUCCUUUGUGGAAAUCUCAAGAACCCGAUACCCCUUUUGUAGGUUGGGAUAUCCCAUAAAAAUGCAUUGCCGAGCAUGUGGACUUAACUUGUCUUGAGGACCCACUGUUGCGACAUAGCAUAGACAUCCGAAAACCUUGAGGUGUUGCAGCUCAGAUUUCUUCCUGAAUAGCAAUUCAAAUGGCGUUCGCCCAUUAAGUAUCCGAGUAGGCAUCCGAUUGAUUAAAUAAGCCGCUGUGGUGACACAAUCUCUCCAAUAAUCUUAUGGAAUUGAUGCUUGAAAUUUUAAAGCACGUGCCACUUCCAAUAGAUGACGAUGCUUGCGUUUGACCACUCCAUUUUGUUGUGGUGAAUAGAUGCAUGAACUCUCGUGUUGUAUGCCAUGAGCGGUAAAAAGCAAGGAGUAAUCAUGGCUGAAGAAUUCUCUCCCGUUAUCCGUACGAAUCCGUUGAAUGGAUUUUCCAAACUGAUUCUUGGAUAGUGCAAUGAAAUUUUUUAAAUGAGAGUAAGCCUAAUUCUUAGACCGCAUAAAAAAAAUCCACAUUACACGAGAAUAAUCGUCUACUAUUGUAAGGAAGUAACGAGAUCCAUCAUGAUUUAUUGUAUGGUAAGGUCCCCAAAUAUCCACAUGAAUCAAGGAAAAAAUUUCACUAGCUCAGGAGCUACUAGAUGGAAAGGGCGUACGAGAUUGUUUUGCAAGAGGACAUAUAGGGCAUUGUGGACAAGGAAAAGAGGCACCGUGACCCAAUCUCAAAUGCAUAAUGAAAUUUUUAUCAUUGGUAGUCAAGUUACACAAUGAUGGCUUAUUCAAGGAAUUGCAGGAUAAAUUGAAAUUACUUGGAAAACUUGUCCAGAAAAAAGAGUCCUUCAGAAAGACUACCCAAGCCCAUCAGUCUGUCAGUCGAAAGGGCUUGAAAUAAAUAGGUGUCAGCAUAAAAAAUUACGUGGCAUGAAUUUUCUUGGCAGGCUUUUGACACAUAAAUGAGAUUAAAUUGAAAUUCUGGGACAUAGAGGAUGUUUCGAAGAAUAAUCUAGGGACUGAGAUUGACUGUUCCUAUCACAUUGACAUGAGUAAUAUUUCCAUUGGGUAAUUGUAUGGAAACAGGAAAAUUCAAUCUUUCAUUUAUACUUGAGGAAAAUCCUUUGUCGCAUAUAAUAUGAUCGCUUGCCCCUGAAUCAAUAAUCCAUGCCUUUCUGGAGAUAGAAUUAAUCUAGUAACGUGUAAUACUCGAGAAACUUCCUCCCUUGUUUGAAGUAUCCAAUUUAUGUAGUGCCUGCAUCAGCUGCUGAUAUUGACCAUAUGAAAUAGGCUGUUAAGUGUUUUGACCAAUUGGUCUAGUAACUUGAUAAGCCGCUGUGAUUUUUUUCUCAUUUUCUCCAGGUUUUCCAUGUAAUUUCCAACAACUAUCAAUCAUAUGGUUAGUAUGUUUACAAUAUUGGCAAAACAUUUUACCCUUUCCCUUUGAAUUUUUUGCAAAAUUUCUUGAUGACAUGGCAAAAAUCUAGCCGUCCAUCCUUUUAAACGCGGGCUCUUGUCCGCCGUCUGAUCCGAUUAAAAUAUCGGACCCUUGUGAAUCGUCCGAUCCUCGCGUGCGAUCUAGGCCGUUCAUCCCAUCCUUUUUAAAGAUUUGCGGAUCCCCUUCGCUGAACCCUAAUGUGGUUCUCUUCUCCCUCUCUCGAUUUAGGGUUAGGGUUCUAGUGGCCGCGUCUCGUCGUUCACCGCGGGCUGCGAGAGUGAUGCUCUCGCUGCUCCUCGUGUGUUCUGGCGUUGCGAGUCGCUGACUCUCCUCUUGUACAACCAACUGGAAAAUACGCCUAAUUGGUGGUACUGGAUCCAUAGCAAGGACCUGCGAUCGGAAGGUAAGAUACGAUUCAUUCAGAAUCAACAGAAAGCGCGUAGCUUUCUCCCUUUCUCUGAUAGAAUUGUAUUGUUUGAGCAUUGAUUCUGGUCCUUCGAGCUUUUCUUUGACCGCUUCGAGCUCGUUCCAUAAUGAUGAUAGCUUGUUGAAGCAAGCCAUGACCAUCAUGUUCCCCUGCUUGAGCUCGCUGAGUUCCUGCAUAAGGGAAAAAGAUCUUUGCUUGAUCCAGUUUAUCAUACAUUUAUUUAAUGUUUUCCCACAUAUUUUUCGCGUCCUUUGUCGGUGGAAGUCUAGUUGCGACUUCUGGAGAUAUGCAAUUUCCGAUCCACGUUCGGACGAGUUGAUUGCACUUCCUCUAGUGUUGGGCUAGGCAUUCAUCGGAAGGGAUUGUGACGGUUCCGUCAAGAAACCUGUCUUUAUCCUUUGUCACCGGUGAGCGUUGGAGCUCCCUUGACCAUUUGGAAUAGUUCUUUGGCCCGGUUAGCUGUUGGCUAAUCAACCGUAGUUCUGAUCCGUCACGGUGGAGAUAAACAGAGGGUCGCUUGGUUCUGGGCGUCUGGUGAACGCCGCCGCUGGAAUCGGCAGAAACCUGGGCGUGAGAUUCGGGUAGGGAUUCGUCCCUAGACCUGAUUUGUUUGACCCGAUCGGAUAACCCGCAUUAAAGUAUCUUGGGUAGGGAUUUGUUCCAAUACCCGGUUCACCCGACCCACUUGUCCGCUCCAAUCCGGUGGAUGGGCUUGCCCUGUUCGUGGCUGACGGGCUCCCAUAAGUUUGGACGUAGCUUUGGUGGCCCACAUAUCUAGGCGAUGAUGAACUUGGGCUUGGCCCAAAGUAUAGUGGGUAAGGAAACCACUGGUAAGGUUGGCUUGUCAUGGAUUGCCCAAAAUUGAACUGAGCUUGUGUGGGCCGCCACUGUAUGGGUUGGGGCUAAGCUGGCUGUUGCUCCACUAUUGGAAGUGUUGCAGGAGGACUCUGAGUCUGCGAAACUUGAGGGGUGGCUUCUCCAGUACCGGUAGUAGAAGCAUUGUCUUGCGGGGUGGCCACAGUAAGUAAAAAAAGUAAUUCCUUCCUUUGAGAUUGAUGUGAAAGCUAGUAUGAGCACCUAGAGGUGGGGUGAAUAGGUGCAGAAACAAUUUUGCGAGAUAAGUGCAGCACAAAUCAACAAUGGAUUAUGAAAAGAAAAUUCUUCUCUUUUCAAAUAAACAAGUUACGAUCAAAGUAAACGAGUGUAGGGAAGAGAAUUUGAACACAGAGUUUAUAGUGGUUCGGCUUAAUCCAAGCCUACGUCCACUCUUCCGCACUGACAGCCCACCGGCUGGAUUUCACUAUGAACAAAAGAGUUGUUAUAGUGAAGUUCUCCCUUGAUUCCACAGUGUAGAGACUCUACUACACUUCCUCAAGUUCUCUAAAAAAUAUAGACUCUCUUUUGCGUACAAAAUUUUGCUCAACAAAUGAAUUGACUAAGAACAAGGAGCUUCAGACUUUGGAAUUCUUCUAUCGUGCACACACUCAAACAACUUAAAUGUCUUCCUUAUAUACUCCUUUAUGCCAUCAUACCUGUUGGCACUUACCAAAGGAAUUCUUCCAAUCUACCCGUUGGACAAAAUCAAUUAGGAAGAUCUUCAAGCUAUUUAAGGAACAUGACGAUAGCCCAUUAAUCCUGCUCACCCAUACAAUCAGGAUCUCGGUUUCCAUAAGUAGAACCUUCCAAAUAUAUUUUUCCAAUCAACGGAUCCAUAAUCCCUGAAUCAAUCUUGAUUUGAACAAUGAAUUCCGACAUGCUAUAUCCAGCCAAAAGAUCUUCUCCAGUCGAUAAAGUCAAAUCCUUAACAAAACAUCCAGUUUUGGAUAAGUCUUCUUCGACGGUCUAGAAACUGUCAAUGCGGAUAGACUUUGAGUCUUGAGUCUGGCAGUCCGGAGGUCUUUAGACUUUGAUGGAAGAGUCUACAAGUCUUCAGACUAGACUGAUGGAAACGUUUUGUUAGCUUCAAAACAUUCAAGGAAGUUUUCUCCAACAAUCUCUCACUUUUUGAUGGUGACAAAACUUUCCUGCAGAUUUGGAUAACUUUGACCUGCAAAACAUUACUCAAGCAAAUAUGGAUAUCUCAUAUAGAUAAAUAGCUUAAUAACACUAAAAUCUGCAUCCAUAGAAGGUAGAUUAUUUCUAUAAAUAAGCGAAGUCAUGAGAUAUCAAGAUAUCAAUAGUACUUGAGAUAAACAACAUUUAAACAGUCAAACCCAAAUCUAGUCUAAAUCCAAAACAGCCAAACACAAAGGUCAAGUCAAACAUAAUCAACAAAAAGGUCAAAUCACAUAUGUUAAAAAGUUCAAAUCAAAUCUGCACCACAUCUCUCCCCCUUUUUGUCAUCAUUAAAAAGGUAGAGAUGAAAAGAGAAUGGUAUUAAGGUUGCUUGGGAACACGAACAAGCUGGAAAUCUCCCAUUGACUAGACAAUCCCUUCCAGCUUUUUCAAGUCCUCCUUCAGUUGCGCCACAUCUUCACCCUUAGCAUUUGCUUGAACUUGAAGAGCAAGGGCUUGAAUUUGAUCAUUCAAAGAAACUGAAGAAGCUUGACCUGCAUCCUACAAGUUCUGUACUUCGUAUCCCAAAGCAUAUAUCUGACCCCGCAUCUCUAAGAGAACAUCAAGUAUUCUGCGAAAGUCUGCUGAAUUAUCAGUCUGAGUACUGGCUUCUGCACGAUCAGACGGUGUAAAUGCAGACGAUGGUAAAUCAGCAUGGUCACGCAGAUUAGGCGAUGAAACAUCAUGUCCUUCCUUAGGAAAUUGAGAGGCAUAGAUGUCCUCUGGAUCUGCUGGAGAGCGGCUUACUUCUUCACUGGUAGCAGGUGUUGGAGAAAUCCUCUUGAAGUGUUUUGAAGUUGACAAAACGUUUCUAUCAGUCUAGUCUGAAGGCUUGCAGACUCUGCUAUUUAAAGUCUGAAGACCUCCGGACAGCCAGACUCAAGACUCAAAGUCUGUCCUCAUUGACAGUUUCUAAUCCGUUGAAGAAAGGCUAUCCAGAACUGGAUGUUUCAUUAAGGAUGUGACCUUAUCGACUGGAGAAGAUCUCUUGGCUGGAUAUGACAUAAAUGAAUCCUUUAUUUGAUCAUAAUUGAUUCGAAGAUUAAGGAUCCGAUGAUUGGCAAAGUAUACUUGGAAGAUUCUACUUAUGGAAACCAAGAUCCUGAUUGUAUGGGCGAACAUGAUUGAUGGGCUAUCGACAUGUUCCUUUAAUAGCUCAAAUGAUCUUCCUAAUUGAUUCCGUCCAACGGGUAGAUUGGAGGAAUUCCUUUGGUAAGUGCCAACGGGUAUGAUGGCAUGAAGGAGUAUAUAAGGAAGACGUUCCAGUUGUUCGAGUGUGUGCACGAUAGAAGAAUUCCAAAGUCUGAAGCUCCUUGUUCUUAGUCAAUUAAUUUGUUGAGCGAAAUCUUGUAAACAAAAGAGAGUCUAUAUUUGUGAGAAACCUUGAGGAAGUGUGGUAGAACAUCUACACUGUGGAAUCAAUAAAAAGCUGUGCUGUAACUUCUCUUUUGUUCAUAGUGAAAUCCAGCCGGUGGGCUGUCAGUGCGGAAGAGUGGAUGUAGGCUUGGAAUAAGCCGAACCACUAUAAACCUUGUGUUAAAUUUUCUCUUCCCUACUCUUUACUUUACUUUGAUCGUAUUUUAUUAAUCAAGAGAGAACUUCCUUUCUAUCGUUUGCCUAGAAUCGCUUCCGUAUCUCGAGAAAUUAUUUGUGCACCUAUUCACCCCCCAUUUAGGUGCUUAUACUAGCUAUCUCAAUUGGUAUCAGAGCCUGUGUACUCACUUUGUUUGAAGUGUUUUACUUCAGAGUUAAAGAUCUAUGGCUAGUAUAUUGGCUCCAGGGCUGGUAGAAGGGCAAAGCAAUACCAAACCGCCUUACUUUGAUGGAAAUGAUUACAACAUAUGGAAAAACAAGAUGAAAGCGUUCCUAAGAUCAAAGGAUCCUCUGGAAUGGGACGUUGUAGAAAAAAGAAUCAUUCCUAAAACUGCACCUGUCUCAGAAAGAGGAAAAGAUACUGUUGAGUCUAGCGAAAUGACUCAGGAAGAGAUAAUCAAGAGACAAGCUCUUGAUGCAAAAGCGAUUUAUUCUUUAUAUUGUGCUUUAUCUCCUACUGAAUAUAACAGAAUAUCUUCUUGUGCUACAGCUAAAGAAGUCUGGGAUAGAUUACAUAUUACUUAUGAAGGAACCGAUCGAGUGAAAGAGACUAGAAUCAACAUUCUCCUCGGUCAAUAUGAAGCCUUCAAAAUGAAAUCAGGAGAAUUUAUAACUGAUAUGUUUAGUCAUUUUACAGAAAUCGUGAAUGGUCUUGAAAAUCAAGGUCAACCAAUUUCUGAUCCCAUGAAGGUAAACAAGCUACUGCAUGGACUCUCCAAGGAUUGGAAUCACAUAAAGACCUCAAUCAGAGAGACCCAAAGAAUCAUGCCACUGUCUGUUGAUGAGUUGGUUGGGACUCUUCAGUCUUAUGAAGUGGAACAAAUCAAUGAAGACGAAGACCCUAAAGGUAAGAAAUCCAUUGCAUUAAAAUCUAAUGAUGAUUAUGAUGUUACAGAGUCUGAAGACGAUAUGGAUGACGAGGAACUUGCUCUCAUGAUAAGAAGAUUCAGAAAGCUGAACAUAAAAUGAAGAAGAUUCAAUCCAAAUAAACAAAGUUUUCAAAAGCAACAGACUAAGUCUGUUGAGGAUGAUGAAUCAAACAAAGAUGUAGUCUGCUUUGAAUGUAAGAAAAAAUGGACACAUCAGACCCAACUGUCCUCUUCUGAGGAAGAAGAAAGGAAAAACUGAAAAGUAUUGAAAGGCUCUUAAAGCUGAAACCUGGAGUGAUACAGAGUGUGAAGAAAGUGAUGAUGAUUAUGCCAAUAUAUGUCUGAUGGCACAAUCGGAUUUAGAUUUAAAUUCCGAGAUAGAUUCAGAUUCAGAAAGCGAAUUUGAGGUAAGUAACUUCAAAAUCCCUAUUAAAUGUUUUAGUCUUAAGACUUCUCUUAAAAGAAUUUCCGAACUCAAGAAGGAAAAUUCUGCUCUAAAACAGCAGGAAAAUGUUUUGAACGAAAAAGUGAAAUGUUUAGACAAGAAUGUUUCUUCUCUUAAAGAAAGUGACGAUAAUCUUUUAAAAGAAAAUGCAUUCUUGAAAAGUGAUAUCUCAAAUAUUUCCAAAAGAUUUUCUAUAGGAUCUGAGAAACUGGAAAAAAUUCUCUCUGUUCAAAGACCUUAUUUCAAUAAAUCUGGUUUGGGAAUGAUUGCUGAAACCAUUCCUUUAAUUGAUUUUCCUAAAGUGAAGGAAAGAAUCAAACAAAGAUCCACAAGAGAUGUUACAAAAAUAAUUUAAAAGGAAUCUUUGUAAAACCAGUAGGUCGCAAUGCUCUCAGAUGCUCAAAGUGCAAUAGUGCAGAUCAUUUUGAAAAAAAAUGUCCUAUGAUUUGGAAACCUGUUAAAAAGGUAUGGGCAAAAACCACAUAUCAUACUAACAGCAAUGGACCCAAGAAAAUAUGGGUACCAAAGAAGGUUUGAGUUUCUUUUUUAAAUGCAGGUCACUAUCGAGAAAAAAGGUAAAAUGGUAUCUGGAUAGUGGAUGCUCACGACACAUGAUAUGAGACUCAAAUUACUUCAAAAAGCUUGUUCGAGUAAAUGGUGGAAAAGUUUCUUUUGGAGGAAACAGCAAAGGAAAAAUUGUGAGAUUUGGAACUGUAAAGAUUGGAAACCUCACUAUCAACAAUGUUUCCUUAGUGGAAGGACUUAAUUACAAUUUGCUCAGUAUUAGUCAACUAUGUGAUACUGGUUUCAAAAUCAACUUUCAAGAGGGAAUAUGUUCAGGAAUUAGUAAAGAUUCUACUCAGUCAUUCAUGGGUCGAAGACAUGGAAAUAUCUACCUCUUGGAUGUGAAACCAGAUGAAUCGCAAUGUCUAAUCUCAAUCCAAGAUGAAGCAAACUUAUGGCACAGAAAGCUUGGGCAUAUCAAUAUGAAGCAGAUAGCCAAAAUUUCAGCAAAGAAGCUUGUUCGUGGUCUACCCAAUUUGUCAUACCAAAAUUCUGAUCUAUGUACACCAUGUAUAUUGGGAAAACAGGUAAGAAAUUCCUUUAAACCAACCAAUAAAUCAAGUUUCCACUAACCGUGUACUGCAGCUUCUGCAUAUGGAUCUUUUUGGACCAAUCAUAACACAAAGCAUUGGAGGUAAAAAAUACUGCUUAGUAAUUGUGGAUGACUACUCACGAUUUACUUGGGUAUAUUUCUUGGCAAGUAAGUCUGAAACUUUAUCUUAUUUUGAAAAGUUUGCUAAACAGGUUCAAAAUGAAAAAUGGUAUGUUAUCUCGAGUAUAAGAACAGAUCAUGGAGUUGAAUUUGAAAAUCAUGAUUUUACAAAAUUCUGUGAUGAAUCUGGUUUUCAGCAUGUAUUCUCCUCUCCAUAUACUCCAGAGCAAAAUGGAUUUGUGGAAAGAAAGAAUAGAUCACUUCAAGAAAUGGCUAGAACUCUUUUAAUUGAAAGUAACAUCUCUUCACGUUUUUGGGCUGAAUUAGUUUCAACAGCAUGUUACAUUAUAAAUAGAGUUUUUCUAAGGCCUAUUUUGGAAAAAACCCCUAUGAACUAUUCAAAGAAAAGAAGCCUAUUGUUUCAUAUUUUCAUGUAUUCGGAUGCAAAUGUUUUAUACUGAAAAAUGCAAAUGAUCGAGUUGGUAAGUUUGAAGAAAAGUCAGAUGAAGGCAUCUUCCUUGGAUAUUCAACCACAAGCAAAGCGUACAGAGCCUACAACAAGAAGACUCAAACAGUGGAAGAAUCAAUGAAUGUUAAAUUCCAAGAUUCUAUGCAAAAUGAAUCCAUUCAGACUUAUCCUGAAGAAUCUGAACCUGCUCCAGACUCUACAAAGUCUAAAUAUCAGGAAAUAGCUUAGACUUUGAAGAACCAGCAACAAGUGACUGUUGAAGAUUCAAGUGAAGGAAGUGAUCAUCAAUCUGACAAAUUAACCAGCAACUGUAAACAUAAGUCCAGUCAUCCCAAAGAUCUUAUUAUUGGCGACAUCAAUGAAGGAAUUCGCACAAGAUCCAAAAGGCGCGAAGAGUCUAGUGCUGUGGCUCUUAUUUAUGAAAUAGAACCCAAAAGCAUAGACGAAGCUUUAUCUGAUGAAAGCUAGAUUGAAGCUAUGCAAGAAGAGCUCAUGCAAUUCAGUAUUAAUGAUGUCUGGGAAUUGACUCCUAAACCGAAAGGUAAAUCUAUUAUUGGAGCUAAAUGGAUUUUCAGGAACAAGAUGAACGAGAAAGGAAAAGUCAUAAGAAACAAGGCAAGACUCGUGGCCAAGGGAUACACACAAGAAGAAGGGAUAGACUAUGACGAGACUUACGCACCAGUAGCAAGGUUAGAAGCAAUUCGAUUAUUACUUGCUUUUGCUUGUUAUAAAAAUUUCAGGUUAUUCCAAAUGGAUGUCAAAAGUGCCUUCCUAAAUGGAUUCAUCCAUGAGGAAGUCUAUGUGGAACACCCACCCGGGUUUGAAGACCCAAGGAAACCAAACUCAGUAUUCAGACUCAAAAAGGCCUUAUAUGGCUUAAAACAAACACCUCGAGCUUGGUAUGACAGACUGAGUAAGUUUUUAAUUGAAAAUGGUUUUGUUAAAGGUAAAGUAGACACUACUCUUUUUAUUAAAAGAGAAAGCAAGAGUUUUCUGCUUGUUCAAAUAUAUGUCGAUGAUAUUAUUUUUGGAUCCUCUAAUGAAAGUCUGUGCAAGAAAUUCUCUAAGACUAUGCAGGAUGAAUUUGAAAUGAGCAUGAUGGGUGAGUUAACCUUCUUUCUUGGACUUCAAGUGAAACAACUGAAGGAAGGAACUUUUAUUCAUCAAGAAAAAUAUGCUAAUGAUCUUGUUAAAAAGUUUGGAUUGGACAAUUGCAAAAAGGCUGAUAUACCAAUGUCAAGUUCCUUGAAGAUAGACAAAGAUGAAGGAGGAAAGAAAGUCGACCAAAAGUUAUACAGGAGUAUCAUCGGUUCACUUCUUUAUCUUACUGCUUCUAAACCUGACAUUUUGUUUAGUGUUUGCAUUUGUGCCAGAUUUCAAGCAGACCCUAAAGAAUCUCACUUAAAUGCUGCAAAGCGUAUUAUCAAAUAUAUUGCAUCAACUUCAAGCUUUGGUCUCUGGUAUCCUAAAAGGGGAGACUUUACUCUUCUUGGAUACUCAGACGCAGACUUAGCCGGAUGUAGAGUUGAUAGAAAGAGCACCUCAGGUACUUGUCAACUACUUAGAGGCAGGACAAUGUCUUGGUUUUCAAGGAAGCAAAGUACAGUAGCUCUCUCUACAGUAGAAGCAGAGUAUGUAGCUCUCGGAAGUUGUUGUUAACAAAUUCUAUGGAUAAAACAACAGCUAAGAGACUUUGGAAUUGAAGAUUCAUGCACGGAGAUUAAAUGUGAUAACACCAGCGCAAUCAAUCUCACCAAAAAUCUAAUUCUUCACUCAAGAGCAAAGCAUAUAGAGAUUCGACAUCACUUCAUUAGAGAUCAUGUUCAAAAUGGAGAAAUUACGAUUCAGUUUGUUGACUCAAAGAACCAACUGGCGGAUAUAUUUACAAAGCCUUUGGAGAAAAAUCAAUUUGAAAUUAUCCGUUCCAGACUCAACAUUUUGAGGUUUGAAGAAGUUAAAGUCUAGAGACUCUCAGACUCAGACUCUAAGACUUUGACUGCAAGACUUUGACUGUAAGUUAUUCUCUCUCUAAUCUCAUCUUGAAAAGGUACGUUCAUCAACUGUGUUUGAUUAUUGUAAUCUCAACCUUUUUUAUGCUGACAAAAAGGGGGUGAGAUGCGAGAUUUGAAAAACUUUGAAACUUAAAUUUGUCGAACUUUUGGCUUGUUUGGUUUGUGGUUUGUUUUGACUUGACUUGUGUGUCUGGAUGUGGAUUGAAUUUGGGAUUUGGAUUUGACUGCUUAUAUUAUUAACUACUAUUGAUAUCUUAUGGAUGGCUUUAUUGCAUACUAGACUAACCUAUUUUCUGUGGUUGCAGAUUUUAGUGUUAUUCAUUUAGCCAUUUAUCUCUAUAAGAUAUGCAUAUGUGUUUGAGAAAUGUUUUGCAGGUCAAAGUUUUCCAAAUCUGCAGGAAAGUUUUGUCACCAUAAAAAAUGGGGAGAUUGUUGGAGAAAUCCUCUUGAAGUGUUUUGAAGUUGACAAAACGUUUCCAUCAGUCUAGUCUGAAGGCUUGCAGACUCUACUAUUUAAAGUCUGAAGACCUCCGGAUAGCCAGACUCAAGACUCAAAGUCUAUCCUCAUUGACAGUUUCUAAUCCGUUGAAGAAAGGCUAUCCAGAAUUGGAUGUUUCAUUAAGGAUGUGACCUUAUCGACUGGAGAAGAUCUCUUGGCUGGAUAUGACAUAAAUGAAUCCUUUAUUUGAUCAUAAUUGAUUCGAAGAUUAAGGAUCCGAUGAUUGGCAAAGUAUACUUGGAAGAUUCUACUUAUGGAAACCAAGAUCCUGAUUGUAUGGGCGAACAUGAUUGAUGGGCUAUCGACAUGUUCCUUUAAUAGCUCAAAUGAUCUUCCUAAUUGAUUCCGUCCAACGGGUAGAUUGGAGGAAUUCCUUUGGUAAGUGCCAACGGGUAUGAUGGCAUGAAGGAGUAUAUAAGGAAGACGUUCCAGUUGUUCGAGUGUGUGCACGAUAGAAGAAUUCCAAAGUCUGAAGCUCCUUGUUCUUAGUCAAUUAAUUUGUUGAGCGAAAUCUUGUAAACAAAAGAGAGUCUAUAUUUGUGAGAAACCUUGAGGAAGUGUGGUAGAACAUCUACACUGUGGAAUCAAUGAAAAGCUGUGCUGUAACUUCUCUUUUGUUCAUAGUGAAAUCCAGCCGGUGGGCUGUCAGUGCGGAAGAGUGGAUGUAGGCUUGGAAUAAGCCGAACCACUAUAAACCUUGUGUUAAAUUUUCUCUUCCCUACUAUUUGCUUUACUUUGAUCGUAUUUUAUUAAUCAAGAGAGAACUUCUUUUCUAUCGUUUGCCUAUAAUUGCUUCCGUAUCUCGAGAAAUUAUUUGUGCACCUAUUCACCCCCCAUUUAGGUGCUUAUACUAGCUAUCUCAGCAGGGUAUGAGGGCAUUCCUGUUUUCUCAGGAUCUCCCCCUGUUUCCAUGCCUUCAGGUGGAGAAGAGUGUUCCUCAUGCUUUGCUUGAUCUCCUCUCUCCUCUUCUUCUUCUUCAAUUCUUUCCUCCUCUUCAUCUCUUUCCUCUGUUUCUUUCUCCUCUGCUUCCAAAUUUUCUUUUUCUCCAGUCCUCUGUUCUAUCUCAUCUGUGUCUUUCUCUGUUGAUUCUAGAACAUAAUGACUCAAGUUCUUCAAUGCCAUUGUAGAAAUGGUGAUAUCAUCCUCAUCCUUUUCAUCUUCAAUGAUGAGAGCUCUUCUUUUCUUUGAUGGAGCAACCAUGGGCUCUUUUCCUUUUCUCUUUGCAGCCGAAGAGACUUGAUGAGUCUUAACAGUGGUUUUCUCAUUGAAUUUCUCCAACGCCUUGUUGAGUUCCUUCAGACGCAUUUUAGAGACCAUUUUCAGUCCUACCACCAUUUGAUCGCACGUUUGAACACAAAGAAUUCGGGGAGGCUGAAUGUUCAAAUGUCUAAAUAACUUAGUCACAAGAGUUGGAUAAGGAAGUUGACCCUUGUCCUUUACCACUGCCUUGUACAUGUGGAACAUAAUAGUAUGUGGGAGAGAGAACUUUUUCCCUGCAUUGAUGGCAUACAUCAGCUUUGCCUCCGAGUUUGAAACGUUGGUCUUUGAAGUAAAUUUCGGUUUGAGGCAAUUAAUCACAAUCUUGUGAAGCAGAAUGUUGGAUGCAUUCAUCCUCAAAUAGGAAAUCUUUCCCUCUGUCCUUCUAUCCUUAACAAGCUCCAACGUUGCACGAGCAAUAGACACACUAAUGGGUUGAUAUCUUCCUCUUUCAACCCCAAUCACAUCAGCCAAUGUAUUCAUGUCAACCACAUAGUCCUGAUCUCGAACACUAAAAGUGAAUCUAUUCGCAUCCAGGAAACUAAGAUUUGAAUAGAAAUAAGCAGUAAGUUCAGCAUAGGCUUCUGUACUUUUAGAACAGAAUUGUUCGAGUUGAAGAAGACUAAAUUUUUCUCACAGAUUGACAUUCACAGAGUCAAGAAAAGCAAAAUCCACACUUCUAGGGUUUAUCACCCCACGCUUCAGUAACUUAGAGUAUAGUUGCUUGUGUUCCUCUAAACGAAACAAGUUUGUCUUUUUCCUUCGGAUUUUUGCUGCAACACCCAUUCUCGGUUUAAACUAACUGUACAUCCUAUCAUCGUCAUUCCCAUCUAGCUGACUUAGCCCUCCAACAUGUGGAUCGCUUGGAAUGUUUGCGAAUGCCUCUUCCGCCGAUCCAGCAGGGGCAAUUCCCAAUCGUUCCAUUGUGCGUAGAAAAUAGGUUUCAUUUCGAUACCCUUUUUCUUUCAAAAAUUUGUCAAUGUAAUUCAAAGGAGUACCACCCCUCUUCAAAGCACGAUAAAGCUUAUAAGUAAAACCAGGCUUAAGAGUUCUUACGGGUUCUGCGUCUUCAAUGAUUUCUUCCUCUUCUUGAUGUACAUCAUCCUGAGGUCUAGAUGGAGGAGAUGGACACUGCUGAGAAUGUUGUGGGCUCUGUUGCUGAUUAGGGGAUUCUUCUUCCUCGGUGAGAUCGAAGUGCGUAGGCUCCUCACGCAUCUGCUGUGGUCCCCUGUUCACGAUCCUCGAAGACUUUCUUUGGGAAGACAUUUUUCACAGUCUUUGAGAGAUUCCGAGCUUGUUUUCCCAAGAAAGAUGACAAUUUUUCGAAGAUUAAACAAGAGAAGAAGACAGAAAUGGAAGAUCGGUGCUCUCUUAGGGUUUUUGUGAGUCAAACGAAGAGGAAUUGACAGUAUAUUAGGCAGUCGAAGAGAGGCAUACGGAGCGUCGUAAAAAAAAAGAAAGUAUAAAGAUGCCUUUUAAAAAUAACUGCCUUUUCAAAAAAUCAGAUAACUGUCAUUUCAAAAAAUAACUCCUUUUUCGAAAAGGAAAGAUUGCAAUAAUUACGGAAAUUAAAAAUAGUAACAAUUAAUAAUGGGUUGAUCAUACCUUUCCGAGAUUUGAUUCGUGAGAUAAAAAUAACUUACAGUCGCGAAUCUUGAUCGUCUGAGUCUGAAUGUCUUUAGACUUUCAGUCCUGGGUCUGAACUUCCUCAGACUUUAAGAUAUUGAGUCUGGAACGAAUAGCUUCAAAUUGAUUUUUCUCCAACGGCUUUGUAAAAAUAUCUGCCAGUUGAUUCUUUGAGUCAAUAAACUGAAUUGAAACUUCUCCAUUUUGAACAUGAUCUCUAAUGAAGUGAUGUCGAAUCUCUAUAUGCUUUGCUUUUGAGUGAAUAAUCGGAUUCUUGGUGAGAUUGAUUGCGCUGGUGUUGUCACACUUGAUUUUAGUGCAUGAAUAUUUAAUUCCAAAGUCUUUUAACUGUUGUUUUAUCCACAAGAUUUGUGAACAACAACUUCCAAGAGCUACAUAUUCUGCUUCUGCUGUAGAAAGAGCUACUGUACUUUGCUUCCUUGAAAACCAAGACACUGUCCUACUUCCAAGUAGUUGACAAGUACCCGAGGUGCUCUUUCUAUCAACUCUGCAUCCAGCUAGGUCUGCGUCUGAGUAUCUAAGAAGAGUAAAGUCUCAUUCUUUAGGAUACUAGAGACCCAAAGUUGAAGUUGAGGCAAUGUACUUGAUAAUACGUUUAGCAGCACUUAAAUGAGAUUCUCUAGGGUCUGAUUGAAACCUGGCACAAAUGCAAACACUAAACAAAAUGUUAGGUCUAGAAGCAGUAAGAUAAAGAAGUGAACCAAUGAUGCUUCACUUCUUUAUCGCUUCUGGUCAACUUUCUUUCCUCCUUCAUCUUUGUCCAGCUUCAAGGAACUUGACAUUGGUACAUCAGUCUUUUUGCAAUUCUUCAGUCCAAACUUUUUAACAAGAUCUUUAGCAUACUUUUCUUGAUGAAUAAAGGUUCCUUCCUUCAGUUGUUUUACUUGGAGCCCGAGAAAGAAGGUUAGUUCACCCAUCAUGCUCAUUUCAAAUUCAUCAUGCAUAGACUUAGAGAAUUUCUUGCAUAGACUUUCAUUAGAAUAUCCAAAAAUAAUAUCAUCAACAUAAAUUUGAACAAGUAGAAAACUUUUGCUUUCUCUUUUGAUAAACAGUGUAGUGUCUACUUUACCUAUAGCAAAGCCAUUUUGAACUAAAAACUUACUUAGCCUCUCGUACCAAGCUCGAGGUGCUUGUUUUAAACCGUAUAAAGCCUUUUUCAGUCUGAAUACUGAGUCUGGUUUUCUUGAGUCUUCAAAACCGGGUGGUUGUUCCACAUAGACUUCUUCUUGGAUAACUCCAUUUAGGAAAGCACUUUUGACGUCCAUUUGGAAUAACCUGAAAUUCUUAUGACAAGCAAAAACAAGUAAUAAUCUAAUUGCUUCUAACCUUGCUACUGGCGCGUAAGUCUCAUCAUAGUCUAUUCCUUCUUCUUGCGUAUAUCCUUUGGCCACGAGUCUUGCUUUGUUUCUUACGACCUUUCCUUUCUCAUUCAUCUUGUUCCUGAAAAUCCAUUUAGCUCCAAUAAUAGAUUUACCUUUCGGUUUAGGAGUCAAUUCCCAGACAUCAUUGAUACUGAAUUGCCUGAGUUCUUCUUGCAUAGCUUCAAUCUAGCUUUCAUCAGUUAAAGCUUCUUCUAUGCUUUUGGGUUCUAUUUCAGAAAUAAGAGCCACAGCACUAGACUCUUUGCGCCUUUUGGAUCUUGUACGGAUUCUUUCAUUAAUAUCGCCAAUGAUGAGAUCUUUGGGAUGAUUGGACUUAUGCUUCCAGUUAUUGGUUGCUUUGUCAGACUAUUGAUCUUUUUCAACAUUUGAAUCUUCGACAAUCAUUUGUUGCUGAUCUUCUGAAGUCUGAGCUGCUUCUGGAGAUUUAGACUUUGAAGAGUCUGGAGCAGGUUUAGAUUUUUUAAGAUGAGUCUGAAUCGAUUCAUUUUGCAUAGAAUCUUGAAUUUGACAUUCAUUGAUUCCUCCACACAUUGAGUCUUCUUGUUGUAGACUCUGUAAGCUUUGCUUGUGGUUGAAUAUCCAAGGAAGAUGCCUUCGUCUGAUUUUUCCUCAAACUUGCCAACUCGAUCAUUUGCAUUUUUGAAUAUAAAACAUUUACAUCCAAACACAUGAAAAUAUGAAACAAUGGGCUUCUUUUCUUUGAAUAACUCGUAGGGAGUUUUCUCUAGAAUAGGCCUUAGAAAAACUCUAUUAAUAAUAUAACAUGCUGUAGAAAUUGCUUCAGCCCAAAAUCGUGAAGAGAUGUUGCUUUCAAUUAAAAGAAUUAUAGCCAUUUCCUGAAGCGACCUAUUCUUUCUUUCCACGACUCCAUUUUGCUCUGGAGUAUAUGGAGAAGAGAACAUAUGCUGAAAACCAGAUUCAUCACAAAAUCUUGUAAAGUCUUGAUUUUCAAAUUCGUAUACUUGAAAUAACAUACCAUUUUUCAUUUUGAACCUUUUUAGCAAACAUUUUAAAGUAAAGAAAGGUUUUAGAUUUACUUACCGGGAAAUAUACCCAAGUGAAUUGUGAGUAGUCAUCCACAAUUACUAGGCAGUAUUUAUUACCCCCAAUGCUCUGAGUUCUGGUUGGUCCAAAGAGAUCCAUAUGUAGAAGCUGCAAUACACGGUUAGUGGAAACUUGAUUUAUUAGUUUAAAUGAGUUUCUUACCUGUUUUCCCAGCACGCAUGGUAUGCAUAGAUCAGUCUUUUGGUAUGACAGAUUUGGUAGACCACGAACAAGCUUUUUUGCUGAAAUUUUGGCUAUUUGUUUCAUGUUGAUGUGCCCAAGUUUUCUGUGCCAUAAGUUUGCUUCUUCUUGAAUUGAGAUUAGACAUUGGGUUUCAUCUGGUUUGACAUUCAAGAGGUAGAUAUUUCCAUGUCUUCGACCCGUGAAAGACUGAGAGGAGUCUUUACUGGUUCCUGAGCAUAUUCCUUCUUGAAAGUUGAUUUUGAAACCGGUGUCGCACAGUUGACUAAUACUUAGCAAAUUGUAGUUGAGUCCUUCCACUAAGGAAACAUUACUGAUCGUGAGGCUUCCAAUCUUUACUGUUCCGAAUCCCACGAUUUUUCCUUUGCUGUUUCCUCCAAAUGAAACUUUUCCACCAUUAACUUGAACAAGCUUUAUAAAUCAAUUUGAAUCUCCUGUUAUAUGCCUUGAGCAUCCACUAUCCAAGUACCAUUUAACAUUUUCCUUGAUAGUGACCUGCAUUUAGAAAAGAGACUCAAGCUUUCUUUGGUACCCAUAUUUUCUUGGGUCCAUUAGUGUUAGUAUAAUAUACUGUCUUUGCCCAAACUUUCUUAACAUGUUUCCAAACCAUAGGACAUUCUUUCUCAAAAUGGUCUGAGCUAUUGCACUUAGAACAUUUAAGAGCAUUGCGACCUACUGGUUUUACAAAAACUCUUUGGAAAUGAUUUUUGUAGGCAUCUCUUGUAGGUCUUUGCUUAAUUCUUUCCUUUACUUUAGGAAAAUCAAUUAGAGGAAUGGUUUCUGCAGUCAUUCCCAAACCAGAUUUAUUGAAAUAAGGUCUUUGAGCAUAAAGAAUUUUUUCCAGUUUCUCAGAUCCUAUAGAAAAUCUUUUAGAAAUAUUUGAGAUGUCAAUUUUCAAAGAUGCAUUUUCUUUUGAAAGAUUGUCUUCAUUUUCUUUCAAAAUAGUAAUACUUUUGUCUAAACUUUCAACCUUUUCUUUCCAAACAUUUUCUUGUUGUUAUAGUGCAGAAUUUUCCUUUUUAAGUUCGGAAAUCCUUUUAAGAGAAGUCUUGAGACUAAGACACAAUUCAUCAAUGUAUCUAGAGACUUUAGUAGGGAUUUUCAAAUUACUUACCUCGAUUUCACUGUCUGAAUCUGAGUCGGUCUCGGAGUCUGAAUCUGAGUCUGAUUGUGCCAUGAGACAAAUGUUGGCAUAAUCAUCAUCACUUUCUUCACAUUCUGUAUCACUCCAAGUUUCUACUUUGAGUGCCUUUUGAUAUUUCUCUGUUUUUCCUUUAUUUUUCUUCAGAAGGGGACAGUUGGGUCUGAUGUGUCCCUUUUUCUUACAUUCAAAGCAGACUACAUCUCUAUUGGAUUCAUUAUCCUCAACAAACUUACUCUGUUGCUUUUGAAAGCUCUGUUUCUUUGGAUUGAAUCUUCUUCCCUUUCUAUUUAGCUUUAUGAAUCUUCUUAUCAUGAGAGCAAGCUCUUCGUCAUCCAUAUCGUCUUCAGAAUCUGUGACAUUAGAAUCAUCAUUAGAUUUUAAUGCAAUGGAUUUCUUACCUUUAGGAUCUUCAUCUUCGUUGAUUCGCUUCACUUCAUAAGACUAAAGAGUCCCAACUAAUUCAUCAAUCGAAAGUGGCAUACUUCUUUGUGUCUCCCUUAUUGAGGUCUUUAUGUGAUUCCAGUCCUUGGAGAGUCCAUGCAGAAGCUUGUUUACUUUCAUGGGAUCAGAAAUUGGUUGCCCUUGAUUUUCAAGGCCAUUCACGAUCUCUGUAAAAUGACUAAACAUGUCAGUGAUAGAUUCUCCAGAUUUCAUUUUGAAUGCUUCAUAUUGACCGAGCAGCAUGUUGAUUCUGGUUUCUUUCACUCGAUCAGUUCCUUCAUAGGUGAUGUGUAAUCUAUCCCAUACUUCUUUAGCUGUAGCAUAAGAAGAUAUUCUGUUAUAUUCAGUAGGAGAUAAUGCACAAUAUAAAGAAUAAAUUGCUUUUGCAUCAAGAGCUUGUCUCUUGGUUAUCUCUUCUUGAGUCAUUUUGCUAGGCUCAACAGCUUCUUUUCCUCUUUCUGAGACAGCUGUAGCUUUAGGAAUGAUUCCUCUGUCUACCACAUCCCAUUCUAGAGGAUCCUUUGAUCUUAGAAAUGCCUUCAUCUUGUUUUUCCAUAUGUUGUAUUCUUUUCCAUCGAAAUAAGGCGGUCUGGUAUUGCUUUGCCCUUCAAUCAGUCCUGGAGCCAACAUACUAGCCAUGUAUCUUUAACUCUGAAGUAAAACACUUCAAAUCAAGUGAGUACACAGGCUCUGAUACCAAUUGUGAAAGCUAGUAUGAACACCUAGAGGGGGUGAAUAGGUGCAGAAACAAUUUUGCUAGAUAAGUGCAGCACAAAUCAACAAUGGAUUAUGAAAAGAAAAUUCUUCUCUUUUCAAAUAAACAAGUUACGAUCAAAGUAAACGAGUGUAGGGAAGAGAAUUUGAACACAGUUUAUAGUGGUUCGGCUUAAUCCAAGCCUACGUCCAUUCUUCCGCACUGACAGCCCACCGGCUGGAUUUCAUUAUGAACAAAAGAGUUGUUACAGUGAAGUUCUCCCUUGAUUCCACAGUGUAGAGACUCUACUACACUUCCUCAAGGUCUCUAAAAAAUAUAGACUCUCUUUUGCGUACAAAAUUUUGCUCAACAAAUGAAUUGACUAAGAACAAGGAGCUUCAGACUUUGGAAUUCUUCUAUCGCGCACACACUCAAACAACUGAAAUGUCUUCCUUAUAUACUCCUUUAUGCCAUCAUACCUGUUGGCACUUACCAAAGGAAUUCUUCCAAUCUACCCGUUGGACAUAAUCAAUUAGAAAGAUCUUCAAGCUCUUUAAGGAACAUGACGAUAGCCCAUCAAUCUUGCUCACCCAUACAAUCAGGAUCUCGGUUUCCAUAAGUAGAACCUUCCAAAUAUACUUUGCCAAUCAACGGAUCCAUAAUCCCUGAAUCAAUCUUGAUUUGAACAAUGGAUUCCGACAUGCUAUAUUAAGCCAAGAGAUCUUCUCCAGUCGAUAAAGUCAAAUCUUUAACAAAACAUCCAGUUUUGGAUAAGUCUUAUCCGACGGUCUAGAAACUGUCAAUGCGGAUAGACUUUGAGUCUUGAGUUUGGCAGUCCAGAGGUCUUCAGACUUUGAUGGUUCUCGGUUUCCAUAAGUAGAACCUUCCAAAUAUACUUUGCCAAUCAACGGAUCCAUAAUCCCUGAAUCAAUCUUGAUUUGAACAAUGGAUUCCGACAUGCUAUAUUAAGCCAAGAGAUCUUCUCCAGUCGAUAAAGUCAAAUCUUUAACAAAACAUCCAGUUUUGGAUAAGUCUUAUCCGACGGUCUAGAAACUGUCAAUGCGGAUAGACUUUGAGUCUUGAGUUUGGCAGUCCAGAGGUCUUCAGACUUUGAUGGAAGAGUUUGCAAGUCUUCAGACUAGACUGAUGGAAACGUUUUGUCAGCUUCAAAACAUUCAAGGAAGUUUUCUCCAACAAUUGAUCCUAAUGCUGAAUGGUAAUCCCUUUUGAAGGUCAAGGAUUCCUUUGGUAGAAGGCCAAGGCGGAAGCAAGUCAGAAGCCUGGAGGCUCAUAUACCAUGAAAGAAAGCAAAAUAAUGAAGGAAAGAAGGAUAUUAAGACUGAAGAUGUAGGGAAUUUUCUGUAUAUUGUCUUCAAUGAAUUGAUAAAUGUACAGAUCCCUAUAGAUAUAAUACAAAGAGUAUACAAUUAAUGGAAGUAAAUGAUCCUAUGUAUCUAUCUAGAUCUAAAUCUAAUCUUUAAUUGAUAUAUACAUAAUUGUAAUUAGAUCUAAUCAGAUCAGUAAUUGCCACAUAUCUUUCAACACCUCCUUCAAGAACUUCUCAUCACAUAACUCCUCCAUCAUAUUCACAAGCAUGGACAAGUCCCUCCACAGCUUGCACUUGGAGACGAGCGUGGCCAACGACCUUGCCGCCAUGUGCAGGGCCUCGUGCCUCUCGCGGGCCUCUCUGAGGUGGAACUUGUCGACAAAUUCCUCAGCAUAGUAGAUAGCUCGGAGGAGCCGCCCCAACCACUCCAUGGUUUUGGACGGUCCGUAUUGAGUGGAAAUGAAGUCUUGGAUCGUGGCCAGUUUCGACUUGGCAUCCUCCGCGCGGGCUUGCAUCGGGAAGCACUUAACGCAGGCCGGGUGAGGAAGCAAGAUAUCUAGUUUCUGCGACACGAUCUGGGCAGCGUCUCCGGCGAACAUCAUGGAGCUUCUCGUGUCGGAAGCAGCCACGGCUAAUCAAUAUGUUUGUUUCGAGCAAGGUCGUGUGGGCGUGUGUGUUGGCUUGUUUGCCUGGAUUGAAUUAAUUUGUGGGGACAUGUCAUUCUUUCCUACAGAUAUUCUUCAUUUUUCUAUGCUUUUCUUGGGGUGGCUUCUCCUGUUUACAGUAAGCUUUGUAAUUCUUUGCUUGUGUGAUUUUUGGCCGGGAGUCGGGAGAGAAAGUAUCUGCCACAAUGAGGUAAAGUUGGGUGCCCUUAAUAAACACUCUUAUAUUCCUUACUUUGUCGAACUAGGAGUUGCAGAGACAAGCAAAAAUGAAUUUAAUUUUUUGUGAUGAAAUUCCAUUCAUCUGUAGAGUUUAAUACUUUAUCAGCACCCGUGAUCUGAGAUCAAACGAGAACAUUGUUGGCUUAUUUUAUCUAAUAUAGAAUACUAAAACCAAUUCAAAGAAAAUAUUACUUUUUUUUUUUUUAUGGAUUUCAACAAUUAAGGAUUUGAUUUUCAAAUUGCUAGAGAUACUAUAUGUUUACGAGUUUUAGAAUUCAAUUAUACGAUAUACGAUUGGGAUCCAUUUGCAUCUUAGAUAUCAAUUAUAUCUUCAGUACACUUGAUAGGAAGCAGCGAAGCCUAUGCUUAUACACACAUUAUCAACUUGUCCAUAUAAGAACACUUGCUCAUAGAGAAUGUAUGUUAUAACAUAAAUAACAACAUAAUGCUCAUGUAAUACGUGAAUAUAAUGUCAUUGUCACAUAUCUGAUACUACAUGGUAGGAAUGUUGCCACGCAAGGUGUGUAGGGGUGUGUGUUCUUUUGUGAUUGUGUUUUAUAUUUUGUUGAUUUUUCCGGUGCUUUUCGGGCCUGCAUGUUUGUGUUCAUUUUUUUGUUCAUGAACACAAUUCCUGUUUUUUUGUUCUGGGGAACAAAAAAAAGAACAGAAACGCGUUUGUUUGCAUUUUUGUUCCAAAUCUAUUUUUUUGUUCGUGGGAACACAUUUGGAACAGAAACAAGAAACAAAAAAACUUGUUUUUGAAACAAUUUUUAAGAACAAAUUUUCUCUCAUAUUUUUUUCUUCUCUUUUUUUUCUUCUUCUUUUCUUCUUCUUUUUUCUUUGGCCAUGAUCGGCAACCGGCUGUCAAGGGCCGGUGACGCCAUUGAGGGUUGGCGAUCUCGCUGGAGCAUCGCCGGCGCAGGCAAGGCUCGACCUCGCCUUGGUUGGGCGAGCUCGGGCUGGCCCAGAUCGGGUGAGGCCGAGCUCGCUUGCGCCGGCGACGCUCGACCUUGCCUUGGCUGGGCGAGCUUGGCCUCGCUUAGAUCUGGCGAGCUAGGCCAUCGCCAAGCGACCGGUGGUUGGGCGAGCUCGGCCUCGUCGGAUCUGGGCGAGCCCGAGCUCGCCUAGCCAAGGGGAGGCCAAGCCUCGCCCAACCAUGGCGAGGCUUGGCCUCGCUGGGGGCCGGCAAGCCUCGCCAUGGUUGGGCGAGGCCGCCGGCCCUCGUCGGCCGGUUGCUGGCCAUGGCCGAGGCCGGCGAUCGGCCAAAAGAAGAAAAAAAGAAAAAAGAAAAAAGAAAGAAAAAAAAGGAGAAAAAAAAUAAAAAUAUUAAAAUAUUAAAAGAAACAAAAAAAGAACACAAAUUUACCAAACGUAUUUUUGUUCUUUUUUUAUUCCCGGAACAAGUUUACCAAACGCGUUUUUCUGAUAAAAAAUUGUUCCCCGGAACAGAAAUUGUUCCCUGGAACAAUUUUUGAAUAGAAACACAAACAAACGCACCAUUCCUUGAACGGGUGCCUCUCCCCUAGAUUGAUUAUUGAUGGACCAAAUUUUGACGGAGGUACAAGAAAGCAUCCGGUGCUUCUGCCAUUGGCAGGUUAAAUAAUUAAGAAGCCAAUUCAGUUUUGCUAAAGUUCAGACUAAGAUAGACGAGUUCACACGGUUAAAAUAUCAGCGAUGUGAUGAAUAGUUGUUCGAUAGUGAUCGUAACCCACUUAUAAUAAUCUUAACUUGUAACCUACCAUAUCAUUUAGUAUGUCCACUCAUUAAGAUUAUUACUACAGGCGAGUCUUGCAGAAAUUUUGAAUUCUGAAAGCAGUAAAAGGUUGUAACCGUGGAAUGAGGAAUUCAUGAGAACUAGCCUUUUUUCUUCGCUCAAGCUAACCAGGUUCCUCAGUCAAUCUUUGCUUGGAGAUGUCUUAUGGGUAUACGAUGCUUAUUCCUUUCCAUGAUAUUGUUUUCACUUUAUACUUUCAACAGCAUGGUCCGAAUAUGGAUGUCGUUCCUUAAAAUACCCAACACUUCAGCUGGACUUUACAGUAAGAGUACCCGAUAAAGAAGAUACUGUAUUAUGUUUGAUAUUUUCCGGAAAAUCCACCUACGCGUCACUGUAAUUUUCGGAUGGCUAUUCAAAUAUUAAAACAGAAUGAAAUCAAUCAACACUGUAAAGCCUAUUUCUUGUAUAGUUUAUCAAUAAACAGACAUUUCACAACUUUAUUUUUCGUUUAAUUCUUAUCAUUGUAUCAGAGUCACUAUAGAUUGAGGAAGCGCCGCCCAUUGAGUCUAUUAUAAAGUGGCCGUCGCAGCAAUAUUAUGUCAGCCGCGUUGGGAUCGAACAUUUGGUCAAACCUGCCACCGAUGAGUGCUGUAAUGCCACUUUCUAUUUGUUUCUUUUGCAAAAUUGACACGACCAUUACACUCUCUGCCCUUCAAAGAGCUCGACCCUAAAAUUACACUCUCUGCCACCGAUGAGUGCUGUAAUGCCAUUCGGCGUUGCACACUUCGGCACACUCUUGCCACUUCUCAGAUUCGCUGACCCCGACAACUUACGGUGCUAUUCUAACACUUUGGGUAUCCUACUUCGGCACAUCAUCAUCGUUCGACGCCGCGUGCGCCCCCACUCGCUGACCAAGCGACGUUAGCGCCACGUUUCAACCAUGUCGUUGACACGUGUUUGCCACGUCAGCCUCUGAUGGUGACUGUUGAUCGCGCUAAUCGGCCAUUGACCGGCAUUAACCAGACCAAUUUGCCCACCUCCUGUUCAACCUGUUUCAAACCGGUCCUUUGUGUUUCUCGAGUGGUUCCCGAGGCAUUUCAAGGUCCUGAAUCUAUUACCGGCCUUAAUUUCUCCAUGUCAGCUCUGUAGGUUGAUAUUGCUAGUAUGAGUACCUAGAGGGGGGUGAAUAGGUAUAUAAAAGAUUUUUCUUCAACAAUUGCACAAUACUAGACAGAUGAUGGAUUUGAGACAAUCGAUAAUCAAAGUAAGACUGAGAGAAGAGAAAAUUGAACACGCGGUUUAUAGUGGUUUGGCUUAUAUCAAGCCUACGUCCACUCUUCUUCACUGACAGCCUAUUGGCUGGAUUCCACUAUGAACAAAAGAGAAGUUACAGCACAGCUUUGCCUUGAUUCCACAGUGUAGAUGUUCUACCACACCUCCUCAAGAUUUCUCACAAAUAUAGACUCUCUUUUGUCUACAAGUAUUCGCUCAAAGGAAUUGUCUAAACAAAAAGGAGCUUCAGACUUUGGAAUUCUUCUAUCGCGCACACCUUGAACAACUAAGACCGUCUUCCUUAUAUACUCCUUUAUGCCAUCAUACCCGUUGGCACUUAUCAAAGGAAUUCCGUCCAUUCCUCCAAUCUACCCGUUGGACGGAAUCAAUUAGGAAGAUUGUUCAAGCUAUUAAAGGAACGUGUUGAUAGCCCAUCAAUCCUGUUCGCCCAUACAAUCAGGAUCUCGGUUUCCAUAAGUAGAACCUUCCAAUAAUAUUUAGACAAUCACCGGAUCUUCAAUUAUCGAGUCAAUCUUCGAUCAAUCAAAGGACUCCGUUAUGUCUUUUCCAGCCACGAGAUCUUCUCCAGUUGAUAAGGUUAAAUCCUUAACGAAACAUCCAGUUCUGGAUAACAUUUCUUCAACGGAUUAGAGACUAUCAAUGAGGAUAGACUUUGAGUCUUGAGUCUGGCUGUCCGGAGGUCUUCAGACUUUAAAGAGCAGAGUCUGCAAGCCUUCAGAUUAGACUGAUGGAAACGUUUUGUUAAUUUCAAAACACUUCAAGAAGAUUUCUCCAACAAUCUCCCCCUUUUUGAUGGUGACAAAACUUUCCUGCAGAUUUGGAUAACUUUGACCUGCAAAACAUUUCUCAAACACAUAUGCAUAUCUUAUAGAAAUAAAUGGCUAAGAGAAUAACACUAGAAUCUGCACCCACAGAAAAUAGGUUAGUCUAGUAUAUGAUAAAGCCAUCCAUAAGAUAUCAAUACUAGUUAAUAGAAGCAGUCAAGUCCAAGUCUAGUUCAGUUCUCAUCCAGACACAAAACAAAGUCAAACAGAGUUCAAACAACAAAACAAUCCAACAAACAGUUAAAAGUUUAAUGAUUGAAAGUUUGUUCAAAUCUUGCAUCUCUCCCCCUUUUUGCCAUCAUUAAAAAGGAUGAGAUGAAGUCAAGAUUGCUUGGGAACGCGGACAAGCUGGAAAUCUUCCAUAGACUGAACGAUGCCUUCCAGCCUUUUAAAGUCUUCCUUUAGUUGUGCAAUCUCCUCACUCUUGGCAUUGGCUUGAUUCUGAACAGAGAGGGCUUGCAUCUUAUCAUUCAAUGAACAGGAAGAAGCUUGACCUUCAUUCUUCAAGCUUUGAACUUCGCAUCCCAAAGCAUAAAUUUGACCUCGCAUCUCUAAGAGAAUAUCCAUGAUUCUGCGAAAAUCUGCUCCAUUAUCAGUCUGAGUACUUGCUUCGGCUCGAUCUGAUGGAGUAAAUGCAGACGAUGGUAGAUCAGCAUAAUCUCGCAGGUUUAGCGAUGAAACUUCAUGACCUUCUUCUGGAAAUUGGGAGGCAUAAACAUCCUCUGGGUCUACAGGUGAACGACUGACUCCUUCACUUGCAUCAGGAUAUGAAGACUUCACUCCUUUCUCCUGAUCUCCCCCUGUUUCCAUGCCUACAUGUGGAGAAGAAUGUGCCUCAGGUUCUCCUUCUUCUCUUCUUUCUUCUUCAGGUCUUUCCUCCUCUGCUUCUUUUUCAGCUUCUAUUUCUUCUUCUUCCUUCUCCUCUGCUUCUUUCGUCAUUUGUUCCGAUUCUUUCUGUGGAACAGGACGACUUAAAUUCUUCAAAGCCAUUGCAGAGAUGGUGAUGUCUUCCUCAUCAUCUUCAUCCUCAACGAGGAGAGCUCUUCUUCUCUUGGAUGGAGCAACCAUGGGCUCCUUCCCUUUUCUUUUAGCUGCAGAAGAGAUUUGAUGAGAUUUGGCAGGAGUCUUCUCCUUGAAUUUCUCCAACUCCUUGCUCAGUUCCUUCAGACGCAUUUUGGUCACCAUUUUCAGUCCUACCACCAUAUGAUUGCAUGGUCGAACACAAAAGAUUUGCGGAGGCUGAAUAUUCAGCUGUCUGAAUAACUUCGUAACAAGGCUUGGGUAAGGGAGUUGACCUCUGUCCUUCAUCAUUGCUCUAUACAUGUGAAACAUAACAGUGUGAGGGAAAGAAAACCUUUUCCCAAAGAGGAUGGCAUACAUCAGCUUGGCCUCUGAACUUGAAACAUCAGUCUUGGAAGUUGAUUUCGGUCGGAGGCAAUUAAUCACAAUCUUGUGAAGCAAGAUGUUGAAUGCACCCAUCCUUAAGUAGGUGAUCUUUUCAUCUGUUCUCCUGUCCUUCACCAGUUCAAGUGUGGCCCGAGCAAUGGAAACUUUGAUUGGUUGAUAUCUUCCUCUUUCAACUUCUAACACAUCUGCCAGCAUAUUCAUAUCCACAACAUAGUCUUGGUCUUUAACGCUGAAAGAGAAUCUAUUUGCAUCCAAAAAGCUAAGAUUUGAAUAGAAAUAUGCAGUUAAUUUAGCAUAGGCCUCUGUAGUGUCAGAGCAGAACUUUUCAAGUUGAAGAUAACUAAACUUUUCCCUCAAGUUCACGUUCACAGCAUCCAGAAAGUCAAAAUCCACACUCCUAGGGUUUAUUACCCAACGCUUCAGCAAUUUCGAGUACAGAUCCUUUUGCUCCUUCGAUCUGAACAAAUCUCCCAUUUUUCCUUGAUUUUCAACCGCAACACCCAUUUUCGGUUGAAAUUGACUGUACAAUUUGUCAUCAUCAUUCCCAUCUACAGGAUUCGGCCCCCAGUCACGAGGAUCACUUGGGAUAUUCGCAAGGGUUUCUUCAGCCACCCCUUUACGAGCAAUUCCCAAACUUUCCAUUUUUCGCAGAAAGAUAUAUUCGUUCCCAUGUCCUUUGUCUUUAAGAAAAUCAUCAAUGUAGUUCAAAGGAGUACGAAUUCCUUUUAAGGCACGAUAUAGAUGGUAAAUAUAAGCAGGCUUUUGAACUCUUACAGGGUCUGCAUCCUUGAUGAUUUCUUCCUGUUGUUGAUGAUCAACGCCUUGAGGACUAGAUGGAGGAGAAUGACGUUGCUGAGAAUGUUGUGGGCUCGCUUGCUGUUCUGGAGACACUUCUUCUUCAGUAAGAUCGAAGUGCUUAGGCCCCUCACUCAUUCGCCGUGGUCCCCUGCUUGCGAUUCUCGAAGACUUUCUUGAAGAUGACAUCUUUCUCAGUUUUUGGAAGAUUCCUUGCUUGGCUUUCCCAGGAAAGAUGACAACUUUUUGAAGAUUAAACAAAGAAGACAAACGGGAAUGGAGGAUCGAUGCUUUCUAGGGUUUUUGAGAGUAAAGUGAAGAGGAAUCGACAGUGCUUGAUCAGUUUAAAAAGAGGGAUAAACGAACCGUCACAAAGGAAAUAAAAAAAAUGCCUUUUCAAAAUAGCUGUCUUUUUCCGCAAAAAUAGCCAUUUCAAAAAUAACUUCCUUUUUGAAAAUUAAACGAUGCAAUAAUUACGCCAAUUAAAUAUAGCAACAAUUUAAACACAGUUUGACGAUCGUACCUUUUCAAGAUGAGAUUCAAGAGAAAGACUUACAGUCUGACGGUCGUACCAAGACUAUUUUAAAGAUAAAGUCUUGUAAGUCUGAGUCUGAAAGUCUUUAGACUUUGAUAUCCUCACACCUCAAAAUGUUGAGUCUGGAACGGAUAGAUUCAAAUUGAUUUUUCUCCAAAGGCUUUGUGAAUAUAUCCGCCAGUUGAUUCUUUGAGUCAACAAAUUGAAUUGAAACAUCUCCAUUUUGAACAUGGUCUCUAAUAAAGUGAUGUUGAAUCUCUAUAUGCUUUGCUCUUGAGUGGAGAAUUGGAUUUUUUGUGAGGUUGAUAGCGCUGGUGUUGUCGCAAUUAAUCUCCGUGCAUGAGUCUUCAAUUUCAAAGUCUCUUAGCUGUUGUUUUAUCCAUAGAAUUUGCGAACAGCAGCUUCCAAGGGCUACAUACUCUGCUUCUGUUGUUGAAAGAUACACAGAACUUUGUUUCCUUGAAAACCAAGACACUGUCCUGCUUCCAAGCAACUGGCAAGUUCCCGAAGUGCUCUUUCUAUCAACUCUGCAACCGGCCAGAUCUGCGUCUGAAUAUCCCAGAAGAUUAAAGUCUCCCUUCUUAGGAUACCAAAGACCGAUGCUUGAUGAUGAAGCAACAUAUUUAAUGAUACGUUUCGCGGCACUGAGAUGGGAUUCUCUAGGAUCUGAUUGAAACCUAGCACAGAUGUAAACACUCAACAAAAUGUCAGGUCUAGAAGCAGUAAGAUAAAUAAGUGAUCCAAUGAUGCUCCUAUACAGCUUUUGAUCAACUUUCUUCCCUUCUUCAUCUUUGUCUAUCUUCAAAGAACUUGACAUCGGUAUGUCGGUCUUUUUGCACUUUUCCAGUCCAAACCUUUUGACAAGAUCAUUAACAUAUUUUUCUUGAUAAAUAAAAGUUCAUUCCUUCAAUUGUUUUACUUGAAGACUAAGAAAGAAUAUUAACUCUCCCAUCAUACUCAUUUCAAACUCAUCCUGCAUAGACUUAGAAAAUUUCUUGCACAAAUUUUCAUUAGAGGAUUUGAAAAUAAUGUCAUCCACAUAUAUUUGAACAAGUAAGAAACUUUUGUUUUCCUUUUUGAUCAAUAAAGUCGUAUCUACUUUACCUUUGACAAAACCAUUUUGUAUUAAGAACUUACUUAAUCUGUCGUACCAAGCUCGAGGUGCUUGCUUUAAACCAUACAAAGCCUUUUUCAGUCUGAAGACUGAGUCUGGCUUCUUUGGGUCUUCAAACCCUGGUGGUUGUUCCACAUAAACUUCCUCAUGGAUAAAUCCAUUUAGGAAGGCGCUUUUGACGUCCAUUUGGAAUAACCUGAAAUUCUUAUAACAAGCAAAUGCAAGUAAUAGUCGAAUAGCUUCUAACCUUGCUACUGGAGCGUAAGUCUCAUCAUAGUCUAUUCCUUCUUCUUGCGUAUAUCCCUUGGCCACGAGUCUUGCUUUGUUUCGUACGACUUUUCCUUUAUCAUUCAUCUUGUUUCUGAACACCCAUUUAGCUCCAAUAACAGUUUUACCUUUUGGUUUGGAUGUCAAUUCCCAGACAUCAUUAAUGUUGAACUGUCUGAGCUCUUCUUGCAUAGCUUCAAUCCAGCUUUCAUCAGAUAAAGCUUCUUCUAUGCUCUUUGGUUCAAUUUCAGAAACGAGAGCCACAACACUAGACUCUUCUCCCCUUUUGGAUCUGGUGCGAAUUCCUUCAUUAAUUUCGCCGAUUAUAAGAUCUUUGGGAUGACUGGACUUAUGCUUCCAGUUACUUGUUGAUUUGUCUGGUUGAUGAUCUCUCUCUUUAUUUGGAUCUUCACGAACAACCUGAUGCUGGUCUUCCAGAGUCUGAGAUGCUUCUUGAGUUGUAAGCUUUGGAAGGUCUGGAGCAGGUUCAGACUCUUCUUGAUGAGUCUGACUUGAUUCAUCUUGCGUUGAGUCUUGAAAUCUGACAUUCAUUGACUCCUCCACAGACUGGCUCUUCUUGUUAUAGACUCUGAAGGCUUUGCUUGAUGUAGAAUAUCCAAGGAAGAUACCUUCAUCUGAUCUUUCUUCAAACUUACCAACUCGAUCUUUUGCAUUUUUCAAUAUAAAACAUUUGCAACCGAAUACAUGAAAGUAUGAAACAAUAGGCUUCUUAUCUUUGAAUAACUCAUAAGGGGUUUUCUCUAGAAUAGGUCUUAAGAAGACUCUAUUGAUGAUAUAGCAAGCUGUUGAAACAGCUUCAGCCCAAAAUCGUGAAGAAAUCUUACUUUCAAUUAAAAGAGUUCUAGCCAUCUCUUGAAGAGAUCUGUUCUUUCUUUCCACAACUCCAUUUUGCUGAGGAGUAUAUGGAGAGGAGAACACAUGCUUAAAGCCAGAUUCAUCACAAAAUUUUGUAAAAUCUUGAUUUUCAAAUUCACCUCCAUGAUCUGUUCUUAUACUUGAAAUAACACAUCCUUUUUCAUUUUGAACCUUUUUAGCAAAUUUUUCAAAAUACGAGAAGGUUUCAGACUUACUUGCAAGGAAAUAUACCCAAGUAAAACGGGAGUAAUCAUCCACAAUUACUAGGCAAUAUUUCUUACCUCCAAUACUCUGUGUUCUGGUUGGUCCGAAGAGAUCCAUAUGCAGCAACUGUAGUACAUGAUUAGUAGAGACAUGAUUUAUUGGCUUAAAUGAAUUUCUUACCUGCUUUCCCAGAAUACAUGGAGUGCAUUGAUCAAUCUUUUGAUAAGGUAAUUUGGGUAGUCCUCGAACAAGCUGCUUUGAUGAGAUUUUGGCUAAUUGCUUCAUGUUGACAUGACCAAGCUUUCUGUGCCAUAAGCUUGCUUCGUCUUGAAUUGAGAUAAAACAUUGCGAUUCAUUUGGUUUCACAUCCAGAAGANNNNNNNNNNNNNNNNNNNNNNNNNNNNNNNNNNNNNNNNNNNNNNNNNNNNNNNNNNNNNNNNNNNNNNNNNNNNNNNNNNNNNNNNNNNNNNNNNNNNNNNNNNNNNNNNNNNNNNNNNNNNNNNNNNNNNNNNNNNNNNNNNNNNNNNNNNNNNNNNNNNNNNNNNNNNNNNNNNNNNNNNNNNNNNNNNNNNNNNNNNNNNNNNNNNNNNNNNNNNNNNNNNNNNNNNNNNNNNNNNNNNNNNNNNNNNNNNNNNNNNNNNNNNNNNNNNNNNNNNNNNNNNNNCUUGAGCAUCCGCUGUCAAGAUACCACUUUACCUUUUUCUUGACGGUGACCUCAAAUUCACUGUCUGAGUCUGAUCCAGAGUCUGAGUCUGAUUGUGCCAUCAGACAUAGAUUGGCAUAUUCAUUAUCACUUUCUUCACACUCUGUAUCACUCCAGGUUUCAGCUUUGAGAGCUUUUCGAUAUCUUUCAGAUUUUCCUUUCUUCUUCCUUAGAAGAGGACAGUUGGGUCUGAUGUGUCCCUUUUUCUUACAUUCAAAGCAGACUACAUCUUUGUUUGGUUCCUCAUCAUCAACAGACUUGGUCUGUUGUCUUUGAAAGCUUUGUUUCUUUGAGUUGAACCUUCUUCCUUUUCUAUUCAGUUUUCUGAAUCUUCUUAUCAUGAGAGCAAGCUCCUCAUCGUCCAUAUCAUCUUCAGAAUCUGUAUCAUCAGAAUCAUCAUUUGAUUUUAAUGCAAUGAAUUUCUUACCUUUUGGAUCUUCAUCUUCAUUGAUCCGUUCCACUUCAUAAGACUGAAGAGUUCCAAUCAGCUCGUCGACAGAUAGUGGCAUAAUUCUUUGCGUCUCUCUUAUCGAAGUCUUUAUGUGAUUCCAAUCCUUGGAGGGUCCACGCAGUAGCUUGUUUACCUUUAUGGGAUCAGAAAUUGGUUGACCUUGAUUUUCAAGACCAUUCACGAUAUCUGUAAAGUGACUAAACAUGUCAGUUAUAGAUUCUCCUGGUUUCAUUCUGAAGGCUUCGUAUUGACCGAGAAGAAUGUUGAUUCUUGUUUCCUUCACUUGAUCUGUUACUUCAUAGGUGAUAUGCAAUCUGUCCCAAACUUCUUUUGCUGUAACACAAGAAGAUAUUCUAUUAUAUUCAGUUGGUGACAAAGCACAAUAAAGGAGUAAAUUGCUUUUGCAUCGAGUGCUUGUCUCUUGAUUAUCUCUUCCUGAGUCAUUCCGCUGGUCUCAUCAGUUUCUUUCCCUCUUUCAGAGACUGAUGCAGUGGUAGGAGUAAUUCCUUUUUCUACAACGUUCCAUUCCAGAGGAUCCUUUGAUCGUAGGAAAGCUUUCAUCUUGUUCUUCUAGAUGUUGUAAUCCUUUCCAUCAAAGUAGGGUGGUCUGGUAUUGCUUUGCCCUUCCAUCAGCCCUAGUGCUAGCAUACUAGCCAUGGAUCUUUUACUACGAAGUAAAACACUUCAAAUAAAGUAAGUACACAGGCUUUGAUACCAAUUGAUAUUGCUAGUAUGAGUACCUAGAGGGGGGUGAAUAGGUAUAUAAAAGAUUUUUCUUCAACAAUUGCAUAAUACUAUACAGAUGAUGGAUUUGAGACAAUCGAUAAUCAAAGUAAGACUGAGAGAAGAGAAAAUUGAACACGCGGUUUAUAGUGGUUCGGCUUAUAUCAAGCCUACGUCCACUCUUCUUCACUGACAGCCUAUUGGCUGGAUUCCACUAUGAACAAAAGAGAAGUACAGCACAGCUUUGCCUUGAUUCCACAGUGUAGAUGUUCUACCACACCUCCUCAAGAUUUCUCACAAAUAUAGACUCUCUUUUGUCUACAAGUAUUCGCUCAAAGGAAUUGUCUAAACAAAAAGGAGCUUCAGACUUUGGAAUUCUUCUAUCGCGCACACCUUGAACAACUAAGACCGUCUUCCUUAUAUACUCCUUUAUGCCAUCAUACCCGUUGGCACUUACCAAAGGAAUUCCGUCCAUUCCUCCAAUCUACCCGUUGGACGGAAUCAAUUAGGAAGAUUGUUCAAGCUAUUAAAGGAACGUGUUGAUAGCCCAUCAAUCCUGUUCGCCCAUACAAUCAGGAUCUCGGUUUCCAUAAGUAGAACCUUCCAAUAAUAUUUAGACAAUCACCGGAUCUUCAAUUAUCGAGUCAAUCUUCGAUCAAUCAAAGGACUCCGUUAUGUCUUUUCCAGCCACGAGAUCUUCUCCAGUUGAUAAGGUUAAAUCCUUAACGAAACAUCCAGUUCUGGAUAAUCUUUCUUCAACGGAUUAGAGACUAUCAAUGAGGAUAGACUUUGAGUCUUGAGUCUGGCUGUCCGGAGGUCUUCAGACUUUAAAGAGCAGAGUCUGCAAGCCUUCAGACUAGACUGAUGGAAACGUUUUGUCAACUUCAAAACACUUCAAGAAGAUUUCUCCAACAUAGGUACCGGUUUUCUUCAAACUCAUUAUAGGAUCUACUAGGCUCAUACAAGUAUAUUGCAUAUUAUGAAAUAAUUGGAAUUUUCAAAACCCAUUUAGACUAUUAUGAAAGGUUCCAAUUAUAAUUUAUGGGCUCAAGAACUCUCUAACUUUUUAAGAGGAUGUCGGCUUUGACUUUACAUCACUGAUGCUAUUUGUGCAACUACUUGAAGUACUAGUGAAACUAAGGAGAAAUUUAUGGUGCAUUUGUUUCAAGAAAAAUAUUUUUUCAAAAUUAGUUUCAAACUCCCACCAGUUUGGUUCAUUGAAAAUAAUUAGUUAACCGAAAACACUUUCCAAUCAAGAAAAAUAUUCAUGCCUAAAAUUAGGAAAGUGAAAUUCUAAGAAGGUCAAAACCCUUUUCGGGAUUGCUCCUCUUACAUUAUUUUAUUUUAUUUUAUUUUUCUUUUAUUUAAAAAAUCAGUUUUUAAAUUUUUUAUUUUUCUUUUCCAUUUUCUUUUCUUUUUUGCUUUCUUUCAUUUUCUUUUUUAUUUUCCUUCUUCCUCCUUCGCCAGUUACUAGGCCUAGAUGAUUGAUCACAAGCGCAAGCUAGCCUCGGGCAAGUCGAGGCUUGCCAACCUUGCCAUGGCAAGCUUGACCUCGUUUGAGGCUGGUUAGGUCGGCCCUCGCUGGGCCUUGACAACAACGCCGGUGCCUUCUCAUAGCCAUUGCUAAGGCCCAGCGAUCGGUGAAGGAGGAGGGAGGAAAGAGAGACAAAAAAAUUAAAAUUAAAAUUUUUUUCUUUUUCGCGUGAGAUAAAGUCAUGAGAUUGAAUUUUUUUUUUAAUGAUAUCUAAACACUGGAAAAAUUUUUCAAUCACAUACCAAAUAAAGGAAAACUAAUCAUUUUCUUGAAAAAUAAUUUCCCCAAAAGUAUUUUCUUUUUUCCUGAAGUUUAUCUCUAAACAAACGCACCCUUAAUGAACACUUGAAGGACUAAGAUAGUAAGAAAUAUCAAAUCCUUAGGUGGUUUUGAAGCAUUUCAAUUCCUUCUAUCGAACAUCAAUUUGGUUGUCUUAAUACGACAAAGGAAGCAUGAGACCUACUUGCAAGUCAAUAUCCACUUCACAUAUUGCCCAUUAGUAUUAGCUGUCAGAAUAUUUGCAUCACAUACAUCAAGAGACAUGUUAGUUUAUUUAUGAUUUUUUUGAUCCUCCAUGCAUGCCAUCUAAGAUCAACUAAUAUUAUCCGAACUAUAAUGGGACGUAGAUUCUGACGCUUGUAAGUUUGCCGAAUAUCGCGAUUGCAUGCGUUAUGCAAUUUUUUUAUGGCACGUGAUGAUGAAUUUGAAUAUAUGCGAGCUUCACUUCUACAUCAAGAUCCGUUACCUUGUCUUGAGACAUUUGUCUCCAAGUUGUUGACUAAGAAUAUUCGACUUGCUACCUUAAAGGUGUAACGGUCUUUGUCCUUGCCUACAGACAUGAUGCUUGCCACUGCUAAUUCUUCCUCCUUGCGUAGACAAUAUUGUAUGAAUUGUCAUCGAUUUGGUUAUUUUGCAUCCAAUUGUUAUUGAUGAAAGACAUGUUGGAUAUUUCAAUAAUAUUUUGAAAUAUUUACAAUAAUAACUUCGAUAAUAGUUAUGACCGCAUUGAAGACCAUCAUUAUUUUUAAUAGUCACAUAACGGUUUUUUUUUUUAACGGUCAUACAACGGCUUUUCAAUCGUUUUGUAACAUUUAAUUUAUUUCUCAAAUAAAUCCUUCAUUAUUUUACAACGACUCUUUUAACGGCUCUAUUUUGUCUGAAUAUAAAAUCUCAUAAAGCAAUCUUAAAAAAGACACACUGAAUGCAACAGAGAAUAUUCUUUCUUUUGAAAUCUUUCAUUUCCUUUUCCUUGCUGGGUUAUACACAACGUUAUUUAUGUUCAUUCUAAUAUUUAGUGCGGAAUAUAGAAGAAGGUCUGUUGUAUCUUGGGAGGAUAGCCGUUAGAAGCCUAUUGCAUCGAGUUUCGCACUCCGAGGGGCGGAAUUAUCCUUAAGGAUAGUGCCUACGCUUGCAUGCCUGAGACAAAUUUAUUUGUUCUCAUAAGUUUUUUUCCUACAAUCUUAAGGAUAAGUCCCAUGGAGCAUCAAGUUGAUACUGCUGCUGAUGUCUCAAUCUCCACCAGUCUAGUUGCACUACCACCACUACCACAUAGUCCCAUGCCAAACCAUUCCUCGACAUAUCAAAGAUUGAAGUUUUCAAUGGCAACAAUUUCAGAAGGUGGCAAGAAAGGGUUUUCUCUAUCCUAGAUGUGCACGGCAUGGCUUUUGCACUUACGGAGGCCGAACCAACUGAUAACAAGCUUCGAGAUCAAUGGAUACAUGCUAAUAAGGUAUGUAAGCACACAAUUAUUAGUACUUUUCUAAUGAAUUGUUUGAUGUCUACUAUCCGUACAAGGAAGCGAAACAAAUAUGGGACUCCAUGAUUGCAAAGUACACUGCCGCAGAUGUGGGCAGACAAAAAUUUGUAAUCGGAAAUUAUUAUCGAUGGGAAAUGUCCGAUUAUAAGGAGAUCAAGACACAAAUCAAUGAAUAUCACAAGCUAGUGGAGGACUUGAAGGCAGAAAACAUCAAUUUACAAAAAGAAUUUAUUGCGGGCCUGCUAAUUGAAAAGUUGCCUGAGUCUUGGAAUAACUACAAGCAACAACUCAAGCACAAGGACAAACAAUUGUUACUAGCCGAUCUGAUCGUGCAUAUUAUCAUUUAGGAUACAACUCGCAAGGAGAUCAAAGCUGCCAAAGUUAAGGAAAUUGCUACCAAGGCAAAUUUGGUGUAAGGCAAAUUUCAAUAUCGCCAAAAUAGGUAUUAUAACAAAAAACCUAAUUACAAACCCAAAGUUGCUCACCCCACCUUAAAAAAGAAAGGCUCUUGCUUUGUUUGUGGAAAACCGGGUCAUCAUGCAGCACAAUGUAGAAAGAGAAUAAUAAGAAAUGAUAAUCCUACUAAACCAAAAGUUAAUUUGGUUAAAGUAGAUGACUUUAAUGAUAUAAUUGUUGUGGUUAUUUCCCAGGCCAACAUUGUGGCCAAUGUGAAAGAGUGGGUGGUAGACUCAGGUGCUACCAGGCAUAUUUGUGCAAACAAAAAUGCCUUUUCCUCAUACACGAUAGUAGAGGAAGGAGAAGAAGUUAUUUAUCUUGGUGAUUCAAGAACAACUCAAGUUCUUGGGAAAUGAAACGUUCUUCUCAAGCUCACACCUGGCAAGACUUUGGCCCUGAAUGAUGUAUUACAUGUCCCUAAUAUAAGGGCAAACAUGGUCUCAGUAGCGCUUUUAGGAAAGGUUGGGGUGAAGGUGUCAUUCGAAUUUGAUAAGAUUGUAAUGACAAAAAAUAACGUCUUUGUGGGAAAGGGUUAUUGUAAUCACGGACUUUUUGUUCUUAAUGUUUCUAAUGUUAUCAAUGAAAAUGCUACUGCUUUCGCUUACUUGGCUGAAUCUGUUGAUUUAUGGCAUGGUAGAUUAGGUCAUGUUAGUAUUUCUUAUAUUAAGAAAACGCAAAAACAAGGUUUAAUUUCUGGAAUUAAAAACCCAUGUUUUAAUAAAUGUAUAACAUGUGCCGAAAAAAAAAUUAACAAAAAAGCCUUGUAUUUCUGUAAAUAGAGAAUCUGAUUUGUUGAGUUUAAUUCAUACUGAUCUAGGAGAUUUAAAACAAACUAUGACUAGAGGAGGUAAAAAAUAUUACGUGACCUUCAUUGAUAAUUAUUCUAGAUUUACUAAAGUUUAUUUGCUUAGGCAUAAAGAUGAAGCUUUUGAUAUGUUCCUUUUGUAUAAAGCUGAGGUAGAAAACCAAUUGAAUAAAAUGAUAAAAAGAAUUAGAUCGGAUAGAGGUGGAGAAUAUGUAUUGCUUAAUGAAUUUUGUGAAAAUGAAGGAAUAAUUCAUGAAACUACACUCCUUGUUCCCCUGAAUCUAAUGGCAUAGCUAAAAGAAAAAAUAGGACUUUGAAACAUAUGAUGAAUUCUAUGCUUGUUAGUUCUAAUACUCCAAAUAAUUUAUGGGGUGAAGUUAUUUUAUCUGCAUGUCACAUCCAAAACAAGAUACCUCAUAAGAAAACAGGUAAAACAUCUUAUGAAUUUUGGAAAUGUUAUUGUCCUAAUUUAAAAUAUUUGAAAGUGUGGGGGUGUCUUGCUAAGGUUAUGCUUCCUAAUUCUAAGAAAAGGAAAAUAAGCUCUAAAUUAUUUGACUACAUGUUUAUUGGUUAUGCUGAACAUAGUGCUGCAUAUAGAUUUAUUGUAUUAAAAAGUGACGUGCUUAAUAAUAAUACUAUAGUUGAGACAAAAAAUGCAGAAUUUUUUGAGCAUAUUUUUCCAUUAAGUGUUGGUAAUAUUUCUCCUGCACUUCUUCAUAAAAAUGUUUUCGAAAAUUCAAAUGAUGAAUUGAGAAGGAGCAAAAGAAUAAGGAAAGAAACUUCUUUUGGAAAUGAUUUUUAUACUUAUCUUAUUGAUAAUGAUCCUUUGACUUAUUAUGAAGCAAUAUCUUCCUCAAAAAGUAAUUUUUGGAAAGAAGCUAUAAAAAUCGAGAUUGAUUCUAUCUUACAAAAUCAAACUUGGAAAUUAGUUGAUUUACCACCCGGUGCAAAACCAAUCGGUUGUAAAUGCAUUUUUAAAAGAAAAUAUAAUCCUAUGGUUCUAUUGAUAAAUAUAAAGCAAGAUUAGUUGCAAAAUGUUUUACUCAAAAACAAAAUGUUGAUUAUUUUGACACUUUUGCUCUAGUUACAAGAAUUUCAUCAAUUCGUGUUUUAAUUACUUUGGCUUUUAUUUACAAACUUAUUGUUCACCAAAUGGAUGUUAAAAUAGCUUUUUUAAAUGGUGAUUUGGAAGAGGAAAUUUACAUGGUGCAACCCGAGGGCUGUAUUUUUCCUUACCAAGAAAACAAAGUUUGUAAAUUUGUUAAAUCUUUAUACGGUUUAAAGCAAGUGCCAAAGCAAUGGUAUGAGAAAUUUAAUGAUGUUCUAGUUAGUAAUGGAUUUUUCUCUAUUGGAGUAGAUAAAUGUGUAUACACAAAAACUGUUGAUGGUGAAUCUAUAAUUGUUAGCUUAUAGGUUGAUGACAUGCUUAUUUUUGGUAUGUGUAUUGAUGUAGUGAAUGAAACAAGAUGUUUUUUGACUUCUAAAUUCGAUAUGAAAGAUAUGGGGGAAGCUAAUAUUAUUUUGGGUGUUAGAAUCAUAAAGAGUGAUAGUGGCCUAAUGCUUACUCAAGCGCAUUAUGUGGAGAGGCUACUUAAAAAAUAUGAUCACUUUGAUGUCAAACUUGUGAAUACUCCUUAUGAUUCUAAUAUCUAAUUAGUGAAAAAUAAAUGAGAUGGUGUGGCUCAGUCUAAAUAUGCUCAAAUUAUUGAAAGUUUGAUGCAUUUGAUGAAUUUUACUCGACUCGAUAUAGCUUAUGCUGUAUGUAGACUGAGCAGAUAUACACAAAAUCCCAAUGAUGAUCAUUGGAUUGUUUUGAGCAGAUUAAUGAAAUAUUUGAGAGGAAUCAUGAAUUAUGGUAUUUUAUAUAAUGGAUUUCCUGUUGUAUUAGAAGGAUACAGUGAUGCUAAUUGGAUUUUGGAUUCAGAUGAAACAAAAUCUACUAGUGGAUAUGUGUUUACCCAUGGUGGAGGUGUUGUAACUUGGAAGUUAGCCAAACAAACAAUAAUUGCUAAAUCCACAAUGGAGUCAGAGUUUGUGGCUCUAAAAUUGGCUGGCAAUGAGGCUGUGUGGUUAAGGAAUCUCUUAGCGGAUAUUCCUUUGGGAAUGAAACCGACACCUUUUGUGUCUAUGCACUAUGAUUGCUAAGCGGCAAUAGCCAUUGCAAAGAAUAAAAUUUUCAAUGGUAAAAAUAGACACAUCCGAUUGAGACAUGAUGUGGUAAAGCAGCUGCUUAAAGAUAGAAUUAUAUCCAUCAAUUUUGUAAAGUCAGAAGUGAAUUUGGCCGAUCUUCUAACUAAACCUGUGGGAAGAAAAUUAAUUUAUGACACAUCGAGGGGAAUGGGACUUAAGCCAAUUGAGGAAAAGCAACAGUGAUGGUAACCCAACCUAUGUGAUUGGCGAUCCCAUGAAUUAGGUUCAUAUGGGUAAUAACAAGUCACUUGUUGUUCUAGUGAUGCACUAUUAAAAUUUAUUGUUCAUCCUAAGAUGAGAAUGGUGCAAAACUGCAAGGAAAAAAGAGGUUGAGCUAAGCUCCUAAUGAAAUUCCAUAGCCAUUAUUGGUGGUGUAUUAAGCUGCAUAACACACUUGAUGGAAUCACCUUUAUAAGUGUGGAGUGAGGCCGCUCUUAUGAGAAUUUUUGGCAAAAAUCUCUAAAGCACUUAUGAAUAAACCAAGCACGCGCAUGGCCUAUUAGCGCAAAACCGCAUUGAACAACAAAGUUUGUGGGAGUGCAAUGUGAUUGAUGAAAAUUAUAAUUCACAAAAGAAAUUUUUUGGUUCAUAGAAGUUUCAAACUUUACCAAAAUUUCAUGAAUUAUAUUUCAUUUUUCCUAGGGCUGGUUCAUAGCCUAACAAGCACUAGUUCCGAUGCCUUAUACUCCAAUAACCCAGCAUCAUAUUAAUUUUUUAUUUUCAAAAUCUUUUGAAGUAUGUGGGAGAUUGUUGGAUAUUUCAAUAAUAUUUUGAAAUAUUUACGAUAAUAACUUCGAUAAUAGUUAUGACUGCAUUGAAGACCAUCAUUAUUUUUAACGGUCACAUGACGGUUUUUUUUUUUUUAACGGUCAUACAACGGCUUUUCAAUCGUUUUGUAACGUUUAAUUUAUUUCUCAAAUAAAUCCUUCAUUAUUUUACAACGGCUCUUUUAACGGCUCUAUUUCAUCUUAAUAUAAAAUCUCAUAAGGCAAUCUUAAAAAAGACACAUUGAAUGCAAUAGAGAAUAUUCUUUCUUUUGAAAUCUUUCCUUUCAUUUUUCUUGCUGGGUUAUACACAACGUUGUUUCUGUUCCUUCUAAUAUUCAGUGCAGAAUAUAGAAGAAGGUCUGUUGUAUCUUGGGAGGAUAGCCUUCAGAAGCCUAUCGCAUUGAGUUUCUCACUUCGAGGAACGGAAUUAUCCUUAAGGACAGUGCCUAUGCUUGCACACCUCAGACAAAUUUAUUUGUUCUUAUCAGUUUUUUUCCUACAAGACAAACAACCAAUCCCAGCAUAGAGGCCCACCUCAAUUGCACGUCAAUCAAUUGCUGCUAUCACUAAGGGUUCCACCAAAGACUCAUUUGUUACUUUAUCAAUUAAAAAAUCUUUGUUCCAUUUUUCAAAAAUUUUGUACUUUUUGCUCUCCCUAGCAAUUCUGCUUUAUUACUCACUUCAGGUACUCUUGAUUCAUGGUUCUUUGAUUUUGGCUAUUGUAAUCACAUGACUUUUAACUCCAUUUUUUUUAUGUCAUACUCAUUCGCUUCACAAGUACCUGUGGUUCAUCCAACUAAUAACUCACAGAUGAUAAUUAGUCAUAUUGGUAAUGUUUCGACAUUCAAAUUGUCCUUACCUAAUACCUUUUUUACUUCCUAAACUCACUUUAAAAUUGAUAUCUAUGGGACAAUUAUGUGAACUUGGUUUUGAUAUUCAUAUCUCUUCAAAUGGUUGUCGUGUGUAGGAUCUACAAAUGAGAUAGAUAAUUAGGACAAGCCGUAAAGUGGACACAAUUUGAGCUUUUUUUUUUUUUUGGGGUGAAAAACACAAUUUGAGCUUGUUUCCUUACAGCAUCUAAACUCUUUCACUGGAUGUGUACUACCACAAUUUCAUUUGAAACUUGACAUUCUCGCUUGAGUCAUGCUUCUUUCUCUAGAUUAGGACCUUUCAUUUAUAGUGGCAAUCUAGGUUUCGUUGACGAUAGACACUUUCAUUGCUUAUCUUGUAAGUUGAGAAAACAUCAUGCUUUACCAUUUGAUCUUAGUGACUAUAUCUCUUAUGCUUUCUUUGAUCUUAUUCACUUCGAUAUUUGAGGGCCAGCUCCUACUUCAACUAUGGGAAGAUCUCUUUAUUUUGUGAGUUUUUGAUGAUCAUUCUUGUUAUACGUGGCUAUAUGAAGAAUUGCUAUGAACUUCCUCAUAUUUAUUGUGAUUUUGCGUACUUGAUAAAAACUCAUUUUUCUCUAGAUAUCAUAGUUUUUUUUGUACCAAUAAUGCCAUGGAACAAAGAGAUAUACAGUUUUUUUCAAAUUAUUUCUCAAAAUAGUAUUAUCAUUUAUCAUUAUGUUCCAUGAAAUUCACAACAAAAUGGUCAAGUAGAGCAUAAACAUAGGCAUACCUUAGUUGUUAUGCGACUUCUCAUUUCAACCUCUUGUCUAAAAUAGAGCACUUGUAUAAUAGUGUUCUUAAUUACAAUCUUUUUCAAGUUUUUGGCAAUGCUUGUUUUUUGCAUUUACUUCCUAAUGAACGCACGGAGUUACAACCUUGAGCUCGCUAAUGUUACUUUGUUGGAUAUGGCAUUUAGCAUAAAGAACAUAACUGUUAAGAUCUUGUCUCUAAUCAUCUACAAGUGUCUCAUCAUGUUAACUUUUGGUAAUACAAGAUGUCCUUGUCUCUCCGUCCUUUUGAGUUAUCUCCAACCAUUUGCUUCUUCACCAAUCUUUGGUAUAACUAUUUCCUAGAAAAUGUUACACUUGCAUCUUUCUCUUCAAAGUUGUCUUCUUCUAAUCUUGAUGCAGGAAUAUUUGGGGAUCCCAUUUCAACAACUCUUGAUAAGCAUGCACCAGCCGCACAUUCUCUACCCUUAGUAUACCUUCUUCUCGUUAUCGUCAUCCAUACAUGUAAGUCAAUCUUUUGUUCAGUUUCAUGAUUUUCCUUGUUAUUCUAAUAUUUCUCCUUUCCACGAGCACCACACAUAUAAAACAACUCAUCCCAUUUUUCUUUGGCUGCAAGAAAUGGUGGACGAGUUGCAAGCAUUAGAUAAAUCUCAUAUUUGGGAUUUGCUUUAUUUGCCUCUUGGAAAGUGUGCUAUCGAUUGUAAAUGGGUGUAUAAGAUCAAAACGAAGGUACACGGUGAGGUGGAACACUGCGAACCUUGACUAGUAGUAAAAAGUUUUACUCGGGAUUAUAGGAUUGACUAUGAUGAGAUGUUCGCUGUAAUUGCUUGACUUACAUCUUUUUAAAGUCUUCUCGCUGUCGCUUUUAUUAAACAAUGGCCUUUGUCCCAUAUGGAUAUUAAAAAUGUUUUUCUCAAUGGUGAUCUUACUGAGGGAGUGUAUAUGGAACCUCCUCUUGGAUACACUACUUUUGACAAAGUGUGUCGAUUACGUCGAGCACUACAUAAAUUGAAGCAAGCUCCUCGUGCAUGGUGUUACAAGUUCAGUUCUACCAUGGAAUACCUUGGUCAUAAAUUGAGUCCUUAUGACAGUGCUCUCUUUGUUCAACGAACAUCUCACUAGUAUAUUUUGCUACCUUAUAGAUACACUACUUUUGACAAAGUGUGUCAAUUACGUUGAUUGAAGCAAGCUCCUCGUGCAUGGUGUUACAAGUUCAGUUCUACCAUGGAAUACCUUGGUCAUAAAUUGAGCCCUUAUGACAGUGCUCUCUUUGUUCAAUGAACAUCUCACUAAUAUAUUUUGCUACCUUAUCAUCAUCAUCAUCAUCAUCAUCAUCAUCAUUAUCAUUAUGAUCAUCAUCAUCAUCAUCAUCAUUAUGUAGACGACAUGGUUAAUAUUAGCAUGAUCAUACCUACAUUACAUAACUCCAAAGUAUCUCAUUAUUAUGUAGACGACAUGGUUAAUAUUAACAUGAUCAUACCUACAUUACAUAACUCCAAAGUAUCUUAGUCAACAGUUUAAAAUGAAAAUCUUGAGCUACUCACUUAUUUUUUAGGCUUGAAGGUUAAUUUAGAUUGCUUGGAUUAUAAUCUAUCUUAGGCUAAAUAUGCAACUCAUCUUCUUUCUCAAGCAGGACUCACUGAUAACAUGACUACUGCAAUUCCUAUUGAGACUAAUGUCAAAUUUAAUCACAAAGAUGUGACUCUUCUUUUGAAUCCUACUUUUUAUUCGAUAGCUGGUUGCUAGUUUUGUAUACCACAUUGUCACUUCUCUUGACAUAGCCUACAUUGUUCAUAUUAUCAAUCAAUUCAUGACCACACCACAAACCACUCAUAUUGUUGUCGUUCUUCAAAAUCUUUGUUAUGUCAAGAGUACUAUGUUUCAUGGCCUUCACUUUUAUGCUUAAUAUACCUUGGAGUUAAAGGCUUACUCUAAUAUUGAUAGGGUUGGAGAUUCUCUUGAUCAUCACUCCACUAUUAACGGUUACUUCUUUCUAGGUGACUCACUUAUCUAAUGGUGUAGCAAGAAAUAGACUGUUGUCGCUUUUUCUAAUAUGUAAGCAGAAUGUUGUGUUCUUAUUGAUACGCCAACAUAAUUAUUAUAGUUAUGAUAGUUAUUAGUAGACAUGGGUGUUUGUCAUAAUAGUGGAACGGUACUUUAUUGUGAUAACCAUGCCAUCCAAGUAACACAUAAUGAUAUUAUGAGCGUACCAAACAUAUUGAAAUAGAUUGCCAUUUUUCAUAUGCUCUUGCGUCCUUCAUGGCGUCAUUUGUCUUGUAUCCACUUCAUCAGUGAAUCAAAUUGCUGAUGUAUUCACUAAGGCACAUCCACUAGGGCGUUUUCAAGAUUUUUUCUUCAAAAUCCAGAUGACUUCUUCUAUAUCACCUUAAGUUUGAGGGGAUAAAAAUAUAUAUUACUUGAUUCUAUGUAUCUUUCAUAUUGUAAUCUCAUAAUCUUGAUUGCUUAUAAUUUCUGUUAUAUAUAAUCACCCUGUAAAACCUAUAAAUAGCCUUUUAGAAACAGAAAUUUCACAACUUUAUUUUCCGUGUUAUUUUUAUUAGAAGGAAUUAGAGAGAGAGAGAGAGGACUCCUCCGUCCCAAUAGCUCAGUUCAACUUGGGGCCAAACCCGACCCGAACACGGAACGGACUACCGACCGUCUCUCCCUCUCCACAUUCGCAGGAAAUCAUCGCCAUCCUCCUUGGAGAGAGAGAGAGAGGGGUUGCCAAGGUUCGCUUUUCUCACUCUAUCUAUAUCUGGCGCACAUCCCCGUCAAAAUCGCAUUUCAAUCGCCUGCAUUUUGAAAUCUCUCGCCAGUUCUUUUGGUUCGAACGUUAGAAGCAAGCAAUCCUGUUACCGGCUCGUCUCGGGUUGCAAUUUCGGAUCCGGAAUGGCGUUUCGGGUCGGAUCGUGAGGGGGAUGGCGUACGGAUUGGAGUUCGACAAGGCUGAGAGUCACAAUGGUAAAUUUCCCCCCUUGUUUCGUUUGGUCAACCAUUCCGGAGUUCCGUUUCAUGCUCAUUUAAUGAGUCGCCUUGGAAUUCUAGCAAAAAGCGACCUGAAUGUUAAAUAUAAAGGAACUGAGUCUUCUCAAUCAUUAGUUACUAUAAAUUCAGCAGAUAGAGAAAGAACACGUGAGGAAAAACAAAAGACAGAAAAGCAACAAAGAGCUGGUGAUCAACGGCGGAGAACUCGUGGUGAAGACAAACUUGGAUUGACAUCAAUGAAGAAGAAGCCUGAGAUGAAGAUUGACAUGGAUCGCCAAGUUAUAACAGAUGUGCGGUUAUUCAGCUGAAAGUGGGAAAAACAAAUGAAGAAACAGUUAGUUGAAUUCUGUUUUUCUUUGAUGAGCUGUAUUCAGUUUUCCGUUCUUUAAGUAGUCUUCUUCUUCCUUGAUGAGAGUAGAGAAGAAAUAUAGAGAGAGGAAGCUUAGAGAGCAAUCAUCAAUGGAUGCUCUGCAAUUGUGUAGCUGAUACGUUCUGUGAUAGAGAGAUAGAAACAGGGGAUGUAAAACAGAGGAUUUUGUAUUCAAAAGCUGUCAUUGAUCACAGAAGCUUUGUACUACAAUCAUAUUGAUAUAGAGUAAUUCGAAGUAUUUCUUUUGCUGAUUUCGCUGUAUCCUGAUUCAUUUCUUCAUCUUCAUCUUCAUAUUCACACUGAAUGCGUUUAUACGUUUUUCGUUUGGAAAGGCCAAGGAGAGAUUGGUGAAGCUUCUGCCGUCGUGGAUUGGCAAUGCCAUCUCUCUUGUCGAAUUUAGGUGGCUCCGCAUGUAGCUUGGAGACGUGUCGUGAAGAUUUGGUCGCUUCUUUCGGAGCGCAUUCGCUUUAUGUUUUAAAGUGAGAGAGAGCCAACAGUUUUCCGGAAAUUCAUGUUCUGCCCUGUGGAGAUUUUGCCGUUUACUGUUCAACUAGGAAGGAAAUGAGGCAACUGAAAAUUUUGCAAAGACCAGUUUAGGACUCUCUCUCUCUCCACUGCAGCGAGAUGCACAUUGCCAUGGAUCUUUGCGUAGAUCUCAGACAAUCUUUGGGAAGUCUUCACUUCCCAAGGUGAAAAUGUGUCUUGCUUUGUUUUUCUAAAGACAUUCUAUAAUCUAAGCACGAGCAAAAGGGGACUUUUUGACAGUCUGCUGUGGGGACCAUCUCAGAAAACUCCAUAAUGGUUCAUUUAAUAAAAUAUUUGCUAAUUUGAAGAAAAAAGAAACACCGCCCGUUUCCCUCGGAGAUUGGGCACUUCAGGCUUCUGAUACGCAUUUGUUUGACCUUGCUAAAUUAGAUGACAAAAGGAAGGAGCAAUUGAGGAGGAACCGAUUUUCGUGGUUAAGGCAAAUUGACGGAGCGGGGGUGAUUUUGCCCUAAGCCAUGAUUAGCUUGUUCAUUACAGGUGACGACGAUGGUGGGUGUAGAAGUUGGAUGGGCCUCAGAUUUCAUAAGAUCUUGACAUCACUUGCUUUGUUGACUCCCAAACUACAAUGCCUAGUCGGACAGUGAAGAUGUGAUGGGGCGUAGAACUACGUGAUGUGUCGCAGGCUUUGUCGGAGUAUAUGGUUGCGGUGAAGACUAAUCUUGAUUUCGGACAGUUCAUAGACUUGGAUAGUAAGCAGGUAAGCGAUGGUGGCAGUCGAUGGCCAGGAGACAACGCAGGGGUCGAGUCUCUGUGAAGAGAAAAUCUUUGUAUCAGUUCGUCUCAGGCCCUUGAAUCAGAAGGAAUUCCUAGGAAUGAUGUAUCGGAUUGGGAAUGUAUCGAUGACAACACCAUUUUCUACAUAAACAAUCUCUCUGUCUCAGAGCGGUCCAUGUACCCAGCUGCCUACACAUUUGGUAAUUGAAUCCCAUUCAUGAAGUUUUUUCCUUUCUUUCUUCUUUGCCUUCGCUUGAGCACAUUUUCAUGUUAUGUUGGAUAUAGCAUCCUUUUGGUCUUGAGCCCACGUCUUCAGAUUCCAACAAAUGUUUCUAAUGAUGGACUUGCAUUUAAGGAAGCAAUCUGUUCAAUAUCUCUUAGUGUUAUGCGUCCUCCAUGUUGGCUGAUUUGCAGACAGAGUUUUCCGGUGUGAUUGCUCCACAAGGCAAGUGUACGAGGAAGGAGCCAAGAAAGUUGCUCUUUCAGUUGUCAGUGGGAUAAAUUGUAAACUUUAACCUCUUCUCCUUCCUUUCGACAUUGUUUUGUUAUGUUGAUUGAUAUUUGCCUGAGAUUGCAACCAUCCGAUGCUCAAUGUUGCAGCAAGUGUUUUUGCAUAUGGACAGACAAGUAGUGGAAAAACGUACACUAUGAGUGGAAUUACUGAAUACUCAAUGGCAGAUAUAUACAGCUACAUAGAGAAGGUAACAAGUCAUAUACAACCUGAAGAUCUCCUCCAUUUUCAAUUGCAACUUCUUCCUCCAACAUUUGCUUGUUAAUAAAGACAUCCUCUUGUUUCUCAAUAGCACAAGGAAAGAGAAUUUCUGUUGAAGUUUUCUGCGAUGGAGAUCUACAAUGAGUCUGUGAGAGACCUCCUCAGCGCAGAUAGUACUCCACUGAGACUUCUAGAUGAUCCGGAGGUAAAUUUCUUUGUACUAUGCUGAGGAACUCUGAGCUCAUCCAACAUCACCAUGAGAGCUAGCUCUUUUGACAGAGAGGGACUGUAGUUGAGAAACUUACAGAGGAAACACUGAAGGACUGGAGCCACUUUCAAGAACUUCUUUCUGUGUGUGAAGGUAAGGACUAAGGCUAUUCAGUCUUGUGUUGGAUGAAUUUCUUGGUUGCAUACUAUAUCUAUCAUUACAAUGAAAUGCUUAGGCUGAUCAUUUGGAGUUCACAGCUCAAAGACAGGUUGGAGAGACAUGCCUUAACGAAGCUAGCUCAGGAUCACAUCAGAUUCUCAGAUUGGUAAUGGUGAAUUUUAUCUGUUUUGUGGUCAAUUCCUAUUAAAAUUUCAAGGAUUUUAUUGUUCAUUGUUUCUGCUGCCAGACAAUUGAAAGUUCGGCUCGUGAGUUCUUGGGGACCAACAAUUCAAGCACUCUUUCUGCUACUGUGGUAUGAAUAUUCAGUACUUAACUUCAACCUAUAAACAGUUACUGGGAGAAUAUAAUAGUUUCUUUUGGCUGCAGAACUUCGUGGAUCUAGCAGGAAGUGAGCGUGCAUCUCAGUCAUUAUCAGCUGGUGCGAGGUUGAAAGAGGGCUGCCACAUAAAUCGCAGUUUGCUGACUUUGGGAACAGUUAUCCGAAAGCUGAGGUUGGCUUUACAGCUUGUUUUUUUUGUUGUCUUCAUCUUAGAGAUCUCAUAAUUUAGUUGGACCAUGCACUGACAUGAACAUAGAGCACCACUGCAACGCCUUUUCUGUGCCAAAGGUCCAUUUAUUACACAAUACUAGUUUACCUGCAUACACACAUGUUAUACGAAUAACACCAUCAUGAACAACCAAGCCUUCUCCCACAAAAUAGGACAGGGUAUACGGAUCCUGUUAUGCCAUGGUGCUCUAUUUCCUAUCCUGCUUUCAGUAAAAUCCAGAUACUGAGCUCUGUUUACACUUUCGAUCCUCCAUCAGGGUUUGUGAUUGCUGCUUGUGGCAGGUUUAGUGCAUGAGCUCCCGCACAUUUAGUUCCAUUUAUGCUUAUCUGACUACCUGUUGUGACGACUGAGUGCUCAGAGCUGACAGUGGGUUUAUCUUUGCUUUCCUCUAGUAAUGUCAAGUACCUCUUGUGCCAAAUGCUUGGAUCAAUUCAUUAGACAUGAUAUUGGCCAAAAGAAUAUGUUCUAUCUGGUCUUUUGUUUGGGGGGGGGGGCACGUUUGGUUUUGGAUUCUCAUGCAUAAAUUCCAUUGCAUAGUUGAAAAUUGUUGUUUUGAGAGUAGGAGAUUAGUUUUCUGGGCUAUUGACUAAGUUCUUAGCCUGCAGCUCCAUAUAGGUUACCAUGCAGAUUUUAGCAUCAAGAAGAUUAACCGUUUCAAAGCAUUAGAAGUCAAGACUUGAGUAGUUGUUUAGGUUUAUUUGGAGCAAGUUUGAACUUUUCACAUUUUCCUUUUCUUGUACUGUUCGGAAUUCGACUUUUAUUGCACAUUGAACAUCUUAAAAUUUUAAAACAUAUGAAUAUUGACAUGUGUGGUAUUUUCUUUAUCAAUGUUUUGGAGGAAAAGUUUAAAAAAAAAAAAAAGACUUAUAGAAAUUCAAAGCAAACCAUCUGUGAUGAUGUUUUACCAAUUUAUUCAUCUUUGAUUGUAUGAACUGAACAGUUACUAAUAUUAAGAUCCUAUAAGAAAUCAGGAGUUGGUGGAUGUGUUGCAGUCUCAAGCUCUCUUUUCUUUCAAUUUAUCGUUGGUUUAUUUUUAAACUUUUGAUUAUUGAUCAAGAACUAUUUGAAUGGCUCCAGCAAGGGAAGAAAUGGACAUAUUCCUUUCCGAGAUUCCAAACUGACUCGUAUUCUGCAAUCCUCACUGGGAGGAAAUGCUAGAACUUCCAUCAUCUGUACAAUGAGUCCUGCCUGUGGGCAUGUUGAACAGUCACGAAAUACACUAUUGUUUGCAAGUUGUGCUAAAGAGGCCGCCACAAAUGCACAGGUCAUUGUUGUUAUGUCUGAUAAAGCUUUGGUAAAGCAUUUACAGAGAGAAUUGGCUAGAUUGGAGAGUGAGCUGAGAAAUCCAGGACUAGCGUCUAUUUCAUCUGAUACUGCUGUGCUGCUUUGAGAAAAGGAUCUCCAAAUUGAGAAGGUGAUAAUUCUGCAUUAAGGCUUUUAAUAUUGUAAUUCGACGUUUCUUAUAUUUUUUGAGGUUUUUCUCACUAUCUAUGGAAAAGGGAGGUACUUGUGUGUAAUUAUCAUACAUAAACUAGGUGUAUCUUCCAACUUCUUCUUUAGUACGCUGCUGUGUCAAAAAGUCUAUUAUUUCUUUUGUACCGAUGGUGAAUUCCACCAGUUCCAUUAGGUUGAAUAUCCUUAAGUGCACAAUACAUGCAAUUUCCAUCUCAAUUGACAUCUCUUGACCAAGCUCAUCCACUUGAAAGUUCGUGUAAAAGUUGGUAAUUUAGCUUGGGAACCUAAGACUUGACAGAGAAUUUUAAGAGCAAUAUCUUCGCCUGACCUUUUUGACCUUCCCCUGCAGAAUGCAUAUUUUCCACAAUUGCAAAUUUUCUUCAUCCCUCUCACCGUAGCAUGUCCCUUUGGACCACUUCUAACAUUCUGCACCUUUGGGCAAUAACCCACAGCUUCACCAUUAUGCUGUUAGCAUUUAUAGCUGUGACUUUCAUCAGCUUUUCUUUUAUGUUAUUUAUUUAUUUUUCGGCAAAAAAGAUAAGUAAAGCUUACUUGAGCAAACCUUCUGAUUUACCUGGAUGUCCAACUGAUAUUUUCUGCAAUCUUUUUCUCUGCAAAAAUUGUGAGAUUGUCCUAUUAAAUUACUUUGUUCCUUUUUUCAUAUUCAUUCCAUUUAAGUUUUGCCAUGAUGCUGUCAACAGGCAUCUACUUCAGAGCUAAAAGCAUACAAACCUUCACUAUUUGUUGUAAUUUGGCAUGGAAAAUUGGAUGGCCAGUAGGUUUAUGUGCAUUUUCCUUUGCUGGGAUGAAUAAUAACUUCAGCUGGUAGCAAAAUCAGUUCUUAUUUGUGAAGAGCUAAGUAUGCAGCUUAUUAACUGGCCUUCUUAAUAGUUUUUUGUUGUGGCACUUUUAAGAUUAUGUUUGUAAAAUUUCCAUGUUGUCACUCCCUUUAAAGUUCAAUGAACAGUGAAGCAUUUUUUGUCCAUUUAUAAAUCAGGAAACCGCUUAAAUAUUUUAACACCUUAUUUUCUGUGGUUGUAUCCUCUCACAGCUCAAGAAAGAGAUUGCAGAAUUGUCUCUACAGCGAGACCUUGCUCAGUCUGAGGUUCAGGAUUUGCACCAAUUGGUUGUGGAUCACAAACCUUCGACUGCACAGGUAAUUCUACUUUGUUAGAUUCCUUGAUGGAUUUGCUGUCCUCAACUUAUAACACCAAUUAUUCCUCAAUGAAUCAUCUGUUCAUUUGAUACUUCAGGUGGAUGCAUGUGGUGAUUACCCUAAACUUUGUGUGCGAGGUUCAUGGGAACUCAAGAGCCUGAUUUUAGAUACUCAAAAAUGAGCAGAUAAGGAGUAUGUGGAUGUUGGUAUCUUAACAUUUGAUUCAUGUCAAUAUUCAGAUCAACACAGUAGGAGUGAUUCAGAUGGGCAUAUGAUCCACAUUCCCGACUUUGAAGAGAACUCUCUACUCUCAGACCCCUCUUCACAGCUCUCAAUUCGGAUAUCUCACACCAGGCGAAAUAGCAUAUGUCCAGAGGAUAUUGGAGAAUAUACUGAUGAAAAUUCCAAGGACUUUUGUAGAGAAGUAGGCUGCAUUGAGAUGGAAAAGCCAAACUCGAACUGCCAUGGCAAUGGUGGUAUGUCAUCUGUGGAGGAGAAGGAAGGCAUUUCAGACUAUGUUGUGGUUGAGGAAGGUGAUGAGGAAAAAGAGAAAUUGGGAUCACCAACUUUGGAGGAAACUAGACAGUUAGACAGUGUCCCUCAAGAUUAUGUACAACCUUCUCUUGAAAAAGCAUUUUCAAUGAUGCCGGAGAAAGAGUUACCUACAUCCAGAAGUUUCAAGCUAGUUAGGAGUAAAAGUUGUGAGUCAGGCCUCACAAAUAUUUCAUUUUCAAUUGAGGAGAUGGAGAUAAACCAUAGCACACCUCCCCUUCGAUACGAAAAAGAGUGUCCUGGAAGACCUGAGGGAUGCCAGAGAAAGUUUCCUUCAUUGAAGUAUGUGUCCCAAGAAAAUUUGUCCGGUAGUGUUUCUCAUAAUUCACUGGACGAUUCUGUGGAUUAUGAGCUUCAAGCAGAGAUAGUUCGGACAGUUGAGAAAUGUGACAGCAGAAUGGAUUCCGCUUCCGAAAUGGAGGAGUCCAUUGCUCAGCAGGAGGAUCAACCUGGUCAGCGUGGGGUGAGCUUUGUUCCCUGCCUUUUCUCUGUUCCUCUUAUCACAGGCAUAUUGAGCUAUAUAAUGAACGAUGGAUUAAUUAUUCUGUUGGACCCUACAAAUUUUUAUUUUCUCUAUUGGAAUUUAAAUAUAACACAGGAGUUAUUAUGCUUUUUCCAUAACAAAGAAUGUUAUAACUCUGCUAUCUGAUUCAAAUAUUUGGGCGUGACACCCCAUGACUCAAGUGGAUGGGAGUUAUUAGGGCUUUGCUCGCGUGGGUCAGACUGGGCUUCUUUUACAUUGUUUUGAAAACUUACUAUGGACAGGAUACAAAAGCCAUGGCUUUCAGAUGUUUAAAGUUUGUUAAAUAUUAUAAUUUAGAAAAUUUUGAUUCGUCUAACGAUUGUUUUUCUGUGUACAAAUAUGUGACGAAGGAUGUAGUGAUAUUGCCCAGCUAUGGUUUCAGCUAUAAGAGUCUUGUCAUACGUAAAUGUGGACAUGCAGGUAAGUUUGGAUUACCACUUACUUGAAUAUAAAGUGCUUUGAAAUUUGGGGAACGAACUUAGUGUUCGGUUACUACUGUUAGAUAUGGAUGUUUUGUCAACAUACGCACAUUUUGCUCAGUGGGGACUCUUUUGAUUGACAGGUACAUGAUAUAAAACCAAAUGCGAUUGCACCUACUAAACAUGUUAAGGAUAUUGGCUUGGAUCCAAUUGAAGAUGAUACAGAAGGUUCUUUGGAAUGGUUUUCACACUUUAAAAACUUGCGGAAGGAGAUCGUCAAACUAUGGAAAAAAUGCAAUGUCUCAUUAGUUCACAGGAGCUACUUUUUCUUCUGUUUAAAGGUGAUCCGACGGAUUCUAUCUACAUGGAGGAAGAGCUCAGGAGGUUGUCGUUUCUUAGGGAUAAAUCUGCCUGUUGUAAUCAAGCUCUGGAAGAUGGUCAGACCUUGACUGCUGCUUUGAGGUACUGAAUUUAAAUUAUAUGAAACACUCACUGCUUUUGUUAAAUUCACAGUAGGAACGUAUUAAGUCUAGGAUUUUAUCGUGCUGAACAGCAUACAAGAUCUUCGUCAUGAGAGGCAGAUGCUCACCAAGCAGUUGC